GGUUUUUUUUUUUUUUUUUUUUUUUUUUUUUUUUUUUUUUUUUUUUUUUUUUUUUUUUUUUUUUUUUUUUUUUUUUUUUUUUUUUUUUUUUUUUUUUUUUUUUUUUUUUUUUUUUUUUUUUUUUUUUUGCCUAAGAGAUUUUCUUAUCACUAAUGGCUUCAAAGUCGGAAAGGCCGAUCCUACCUUAUUUACUAAAACUCUUGACAAUGAUUUGUUUGUAUGCCAAAUUUAUGUUGAUGAUAUUAUAUUUGGGUCUACUAAUGAAUCAACAUGUGAGGAAUUUAGUAGGAUCAUGACACAGAAAUUUGAGAUGUCUAUGAUGGGGGAGUUGAAGUACUUCUUAGGAUUUCAAGUGAAGCAACUCCAAGAGGGCACCUUCAUUAGCCAAACAAAGUACAUUCAAGACAUUCUAACCAAGUUUGAGAUGAAGGAUGCCAAGCCCAUCAAGACACCCAUGGGAACCAAUGGGCAUCUCGACCUCGACACGGGAGGUAAAUCCGUCGAUCAAAAGGUAUACCGGUCGAUGAUAGGCUCUUUACUCUAUCUAUGUGCAUCUCGACCGGACAUUAUGCUUUCGGUAUGCAUGUGUGCAAGAUUCCAAGCCGACCCUAAGGAAGCUCACCUUACGGUCGUAAAACGAAUCUUGAGAUAUUUAGUUCAUACUCCUAAGUUUGGGCUUUGGUACCCUCGGGGAUCCACAUUUGAUUUAAUUGGUUAUUCGGAUGCCGAUUGGGUGGGGUGUAAGAUUAAUAGAAAGAGCACAUCGGGGACUUGCCAGUUCUUGGGAAGAUCCUUGGUGUCUUGGGCUUCAAAGAAGCAAAAUUCCGUAGCUCUUUCUACCGCCGAAGCCGAGUAUAUUGCCGCAGGCCAUUGUUGCGCGCAAUUACUUUGGAUGAGGCAACCCCUUAGGGACUAUGGUUACAAAUUAACCAAAGUUCCUCUUCUAUGUGAUAAUGAGAGUGCAAUCCGCAUGGCGGAUAAUCCCGUUGAGCAUAGCCGCACUAAACACAUAGCCAUUCGGUAUCAUUUCUUAAGGGGUCACCAACAAAAGGGAGAUAUCGAGAUUGCAUAUAUUAACACUAAGGAACAAUUAGCCGAUAUCUUUACCAAGCCACUAGAUGAACAAACUUUUAACAAACUUAGGCAUGAGCUAAAAUUCUUGAUUCUAGGAAUUUCUUUUGAUGUUUUGCACACAUAGCUCAUUAAUAUACCUUUGAUCAUGUAUCUUUUAUAUGCUAUGACUAAUGUGUUUUCAAGUGAAUUUCAAACCAAGUCAUAGGUAUAUUGAAGGGAAUUGGAGUCUUCGGCGAAGACAAAGGCUUCCACUCCACUCCAUCGACUCAUCCUUCGCCGUCGCUCCAAACAAUUCUCCAACUUUGGUAUAAUCUUCACUCAUAUUUUGUUUGCCAAAGGGGGAGAAAGUAGUUUUCAAAGGGCUUAUAUUUCACUCAAGUAUCCGUUUUUGGCGAUUUAUGCCAAAGGGGGAGAGAGCAUGAGCCCAAAGCAAAAGGACCGCACCACCACCAAUUUCAAAAAUUUUAGUCUUUCAAUUUGGUUUUAAAGAAGUAUUUUCAAACUGGUAUCUUAUUUGUGAUAUAAUUUCAAAUUGGUAUACCCUCUUCAAAAUUAAUAUCAAAACCCUCUUGAACACUAAGAGGAGGAUUUCAUUAAGGGGGGGUUUUGUUUAAGUCAAAGGAAAAGCAUUUGAAACAGGGGAGAAAAUUUAAAAUCUUGAAAAUGCUUCUCAAAAUCUUACUCAUUUACCUUUGACUGUUUGCAAAAGGACUUUGAAAAGAAUUUACAAAAGAAUUUGCAAAAACAAAACAUGUGGUGCAAGCGUGGUCCAAAAUAUGUAAAAUAAAGAAACAUUCCAUGCAUAUCUUAUGAUAUAUAUAUUGGCUCAAUUCUAAGUAACCUUUGCACUUACAAUUAUGCAAACUAGUUCAAUUAUGCACUUCUAUAUCUGCUUUGGUUUGUGUUGGCAUCAAUCACCAAAAAGGGGGAGAUUGAAAGGGAAUUAGGCUUACACCUAUUUCCUAAUUGAUUUUGGUGGUUGAAUUGCCCAACACAAAUAAUUGGACUAACUAGUUUGCUCUAGUCUAUAAGUUCUACAGGUGCCAAAGGUUCACAAUAAGCCAAUAAAAAGACCAAGAAAAGGGUUCAAACAAGAGAGCAAAAGACAACCCGGAAGGCACAUUGGUCUGGCGCACCGGACUGUCCGGUGUGCCACCGGACAGUGUCCGGUGCACCAGGGAACUCGACGCCCAACUCUUCACCUUCGGGAAUUUUUAGAGGAGCUCCGCUAUAAUUCACCGGACUGUCCGGUGCACCACCGGACAGUGUUCGGUGCCCGAAGGGAGAGCAACUCUGAACUCGCCAGCUUCGGGAAUCCGCUCCGCUAUAAUUCACCGGACUGUCUGGUGAGUCACCGGACAGUGUCCGGUGUGACAGCGGAGCAACGACUACUUCGCGCGCAACGGUCAACUGCAACGCAUUAAAUGCGCGCCUGCACGCGCAGAGGAGUAGAGCACGCGCGGAUGGCACACCGGACAGCCUACAGGGCCUGUCCGGUGCACCACCGGACAGCCAGGCGGGCCCACAAGUCAGAGCUCCAACAGUCAGAACCCAACGGCCAGGUAACGUGGCUGGUGCACCGGACAGUGUCCGGUGGCGCACCGGACUGUCCGGUGCGCCCGUCGACAGCAGCCUCCACCAACGGUCAAGUUUGGUGGUUGGGGCUAUAAAUACCCCAACCACCCCCACAUUCAAGUCAUCCAAGUUUUCCAUCUUCCAACUACUUACAAGAGCUCUAGCAUUCAAUUCUAGACACAACCAAAGAGAUCAAUCCUCUCCCAAGUCCGAAAUUACUCCAAAUCAAAUAGUGACUAGAGAGAGCGACACUUGUGUUCAUUUGAGCUCUUGCGCUUGGAUUGAUUCUUUUCUUUCAUAUUCUUUCUUGUCAUCAGAACUCAAUUGUAACCGAGGCAAGAGACACCAAUUGUGUGGUGGUCCUUGCGGGGAAGUUUGGUUCCCGUUUGAUUGAGAAGAGAAGCUCACUCGGUCCGAAGGACCGUUUGAGAGAGGGAAAGGGUUGAAAGAGACCCUGUCUUUGUGACCACCUCAACGGGGAGUAGGUUUGCGAGAACCGAACCUCGGUAAAACAAAUCCUUGUGUCUCACUUCUUAUUCGCUUACGAUUUGUUUUUGCGCCCUCUCUCGGACUCGAAUUUAUUUCUAACGCUAACCCGGCUUGUAGUUGUGAUUAAGUUUGUAAAUUUCAGAUUCGCCCUAUUCACCCCCCUCUAGGUGACUUUCACUAGGUUUGCCUCUUCAAAUCGUGGUGAGUAGCGUCCUACGCAAUGCCCUACGGUUAUCGCUUCGUACUUCUGCGAUCGGAGUAGACUUUAGGGGCGGCAAUCGCUGGUGACGCAUGCUCCGGCAAUGGUGCCGUCGUCACUGAUCUGUGCGCCGCCGGAGUUUGAGCAGUGUCUGGGCGGGGCGGAUUGACCGCCGGAUCAGUUCUAGACGGCUUAGAUUAGAAAUUGCAAUACCCCUUCACCGCGUUUGAGUUGUACUGUUGAUCGCGAAUCGGGCGGUUGUAAGCAAUUAUUAGUUUAUAAUAGCGCUGGUCAGAUCCUAGACGUGGAUCCCCGAUCCAACGGUGGUUGGGGAAGCGGGAGCGGGACCUCGGCCGAUCUAAUCUGGGCGCCUCGUUUCAGAUCGGACAGCUGUAAUCGGCCGAUACCCAUUCGGCUGUUACAUUUGUAUAAGAAACCCUAGGUUUUCUCGGUUUCAACCCGCAGUCCAACCACGGUGCAGUAUGAGUCUAGGGUUUACUUACGCCAAGCCCCCUACUGUCUCUGGUAAUUGGCGCCCAGUCCAAGGUGUUAUAAAAUCAGAUAUUAUUAAAUAGAAAUGGAUUUUUAAUAUGAAAAUAUUGGCUAUAAUUUGUUUAAUUCAUAUAAAAUGCAUACUUAGUCCAAAUUAACCCAUUCCAAUUUCUAUAAUUUUAUAAUAUUAUUGUUUAUCCAUUAGUGUCACUGUUUUGCCAUGAAAGACACAUUUAAUUUUAUCUCUCACUUAACCUUGUAUUAAAUACGUAAAACAUUUGGAAAUUCAGAUCUUAAAAUCUAUAACUCAAAAUUUAUGAUUCAUGUUUCUAGGAUCUUAUUUUAAUGUGUAGAUUAUUAUUGUGUAUUUUAUUUACAUGUUGGGUGUGAUGUUAAUUUUGCUAUACUAUGUAUGUAUUGUGUUGAUGCGAGUAUACGAGCAAGCUACUGUGGAUCCUGAGGUCCAGCAGAUAGAAGUUGCUGAGUAGGAGCUCAUUGAAGGCAAGUUGUGCCCUUGAUCACUUAUUUUUACCCAGCCAUGUUUCUUAUUAAUCAUAAUGAUCUGCAUAGGUUAGUUUUGAUGGGAUCCAAUAGGUUACCCCAGUUUUGGCUAUCUUUAUACCUUGUUUUGCCACUGAAUAUUUUUGGGUAGUGCUUGCUAUUGCUUAUUUUGGUUCUGGGUAUGGAGAUACAUUAUUCAUGAUUACACUUUCAUUCUCUGUUUAUUGUUACUGUUCAUGUUAAGAUUAUUAUGUUAAGGGGAACAUGGAGCGAACACUAGGGAAAACAGUGCUACCACAAGGGUAGUAUGGGAUGCCCUUGGCUGAUUAACUAGGAAAGCUAGUAGAUGACUACCUUACCCGAUAGGGGCAAGGGCAGUAGGGGAGUGGUUAGUGUAGGGAGGUCCUUGGGUUGAUUUUGCUGCGAUGGCGGUCAGGCGAGGGAUCCCUGCCUCGCCUCCUCGGUAGAGGUGUAUGGGAUUGGCCGUCUCUUGGCAGAUGGGUAACAUGACUUGUGGGUAAAGAUGUGCAACCUCUGCAGAGUGUAAAACCGGUCAUGAGCAGCUCGGACCCUCACAUGAUUAAUCUAUGGAAUUAAAACUCAAUUUAUCAUUAUUCAUCGCAUUGGGAUUAUUUUAUUAUUACUUUUACUUAUUAUUACUAAGGUUUGGUAUUUACUUAUACUUAGUAAUUGCUAAUAAAAUUUUGACCAACUUAUAAAAGCAAUGCUCAGCUUCAACCUUUAUUUUGUUGAUCAGCCUUACACUUCACAUGAACUCCCACCUUUGGGCGAGUUCAUGCACAUUAUUCCCCACAACUUGUUGAGCUAUAAUGUAUGUGAGCUCACUCUUGCUGUCUCACACCCCCCCACAAGAGAAGAACAAAUGGUCGAAGAGGAGCCACCUAACACUGAGGCAUUCGACUUGAUCUUGGUGGCGUCUCCCAGUCAACUUUGUGGCGCCAGGGAAUAAUAUUUAGUUCGCUUUAUUUUAUCAUUUAUUUUUGUAAGACUUCCGCUAUGUAAUAAGUAAUUUAUGAUAAUUAUGACAUUUAUCUCUAUGCACUCUGUUAUUAUAUGUGUUGUCUUCUCUGGCGCAUAUAUGAGAUGCACCCGGCUUUGUUCCUUAAAUCCCGGUGUGACAAUACUCUCCUACAAUUAGUAAUAUAACUUAAACCAAUCAAGAAAUAAAAAAGCAGGCCACAUAAUAAUGAUGCUUUUGAUAGAAUUAGUAGGAUCAAUAAGUACCUUUGCCAGUGCCACUUUUCUUUUUCUUCCCUUUUCUCUUUUCGUGGGAUAUGGUUGAUCAUUUAUUAUUCAGUAUAUAUUGUGAUGGCAAAAACAAAAUAUCUUUUAUGUUAAAGACUUUAAGGGCAUGCUUGCAUGAUAUACCUAUAGAUUCGAACUUUCUGCACAAACAACUAAUUGUCAUAUCUGCAGUGUAAAAUCAAACUAAUGCUCCAAGAGAAGAUUGCAUCUGUGUAACCAUGUAUGUCAAUAUUGACCCCUCGUCGUGCAACAAUGGGCCGGUUAAUAAAAAUUGAUCCUUAAAUUCUGUCUCAAACUCUAAAAAUAUUAUCCUUGUAUAUGAUUCGGUCGCAGUCUUCAACAUAGGUAAUUUGGGCUAUAAGUAGCCAGAAUCUUUUGUCGUGAAUGAAAAUAUGCAUUCACCUCAUUUGCACGAAGACUAGCAAAUACCUUCUCACAUUCUACGAGGAGCUCCGAAAGACCCAAUUUCCUAUGAAAUCUUUUAUUGAAAACUUUAUUCAUCCCUCAACGCAUUUAGGUUUGACAUCCAUACAUUAUCCUCAAGAUCGUACUCCCUCAACAAGUCAUGCCUCUUUUUAUUGAAGUAAAUCUUUGAUCUUUCUUCAUAUAGACAACUCUUAAAAUCAGGCAUAAACUUUCGAUGAUGCUUCUGAAUAACAUGCCCAAGAUGUUUAGCAACAGUGAGUUAAAUAUGCCAUAAAAAAGGCGAUGACUAGUGUUAAGGAAUACAUAAUCUAGCAAGUGUCUUGUCGUGCUCUUUCUAUUGGUGAAUCCGAUCCCGCCAGCAUAGUUAUUGUACAUGUCAUAAGCGGUGUCCUCUGAAUCAAAAGCCAUUCUAACUUUAGGAACAACUGAUGUACGACUGAUAUUAUUAUUCACCUGUUGUAUAUGGGUUCAGAAAACAUAAUCUAACAAUCUCAUACAUGACCGAACAACCUCAAUAAAAAAUAAUAUAUGUUCACAGAAAUACAUCCUUACUCGUGUUGCUUGACUCCUUGUAACACCCAAAAUUCUAUUUUUGGGAUUUAUAAACGUUUCUUCAAAAGAUUGAGUUAAAAUGGCUUUCAAUAAUAAAUUACUUUCUCUAUAAAGUACAUUUUUCUAAAUUAAGUCAAUAGUAAUGUAAAAAAUAGGUAGUUCAAAAUUUAGAUUCAAAUCCUGAAACUAAAGUUUAAGUUGAAAGCAAUAACUAGAAGAAAGAUUUUCAUUCUAUUCAUUAUUUCCUUUGUAACCUUUAACACUUUUUAAAAGUAUUUUAAGUAAAAGAAUCCCUGGUAAAGAUUAUAUAUUUCCCCUAUAUAAGUAAGGUAAUGGACAUUCUUUUCUUUAUGGUUGUUAACUUCAAAUUUGAUCACAUACUCAAAAGUAACAUUUUCCUAAAAUGAAACAAAAUGUGUGUAUGGCAUAUUAUGAGCCCUUCACUACAGUAAACGGAACAACGUCCGACGGCCAAAACCGUCGGACAUAAGGAUUAAACCGUCGGAAAUAGGUUAUCUCCGACGGCAAAGCCUUAUCUCCGACGGCUUUAAGCCGUCAGCGAUAAUUCGUCGGAAAUAGUGCAAUGUCCGACGGCUGCCGUCGGACAUAAGCUAUCUCCGACGGCUGCGUGUGCCCGUCGGAGAUAACAAAUCCCAACCGUUUUACCGGUCGGUAUGUGGGCCCCACAGGAUUAAGUCGACGGCCCGUAGCUAGGCCGUCGGACAUAAGCAUCCCUUAUGUCCGACGGUAUUUAAUGCCGUCGGACAUAACACAGGGUUAUGUCCGACGGCUACCACUAGGCCGUCGGACAUAACAAAUUACAGAAUUUACACAAAAUUCUGUUUUUUAAAAAAUCUGACAUUUACAAAACAAAAACAGAUUCAUGCACAUAUACACAUUCACAUUCACAAUCACAAAUAUACACAUUCUAAUAAGUAUUCACAAUCACAAAUAUUCUCACAUAAAUAUUAACAUUCACAAAUUUAACAUCAACAUAUAGGUUCGACGGUUGUUGCAAACUGAAAUUGUGUCUCACAAACAAGUGUUGCAAAGUGUUUCAUAAAUAAACAUCAUGACACAUCAAUCAUAUCCAUCGUCUGGAUGGUUCGAGUAGCCACCUCCUCCGGCUGGACUCUGCGUGGUGAAAAGGUUGUUGACCCACGAAUGUGUUGUGUCGUCUUGCCCAGACCAUCUCCAGGUGCGGCAACUGAAGCGGGUGGUGUCUGAAAUCCCUAUAACACAAGCACAUGAAAUAGUAAACACUCAGUUGUUCAUUUAAACACAUAAGACAUCUAUGAACAUGUCACACACGCAUAUGUGUACAUACCAUAGGGAAUUGUGACGGAGGCAGAGGCGGAGGUGGAGGCGCCAACAUUGGCAUUGGCAGUGCAAAGUCCGGAGGCGGCAUCCCAUAUGUCGGCAUCGGGACGCCCGCUUGUUGGGCUAGUUGCUACAAAUUAUAUACAAGUCAUUGUUGAACAAACAAGAUACACAUCAAGUGUUUUGCAAAAUAAGCUACAAAAUGUUACUUCAACUUACCGAGAGAAGAGCUUGAUUUUGGGCCUGGAGGCUUGCAUAAUACUCGUCCCUCUUCUUCUGGUACUCGGCUUGUUGUCUCUGGUAUUCAGAUUGUUGCCUCUGGUACUCCAAUUGUUCCCUCAAGACUGAUUGAUGGUACUCUGCCUGUUGACGCAACACUGCAAGCUCUAUCUCAUGGGCUGCUGAUCGUGAACGGGACGACUGUGAAGACGACGAUGUGGAUUGUCGUCCACGGCGUCUCAGCUCUCUGGAAUCAAUCGUAGAAUCAAAAAUACCCAACCUACAAGAGUGAACCAUGCACUUAGUAUAGUAACUCAUGGCUCAGUUGAAUCGCAAGCAUAUGAUGACAAUUUUGAAAACCAAAUCAAAUAAUCUCACCGUCCAUGGGCUUGUCCUCCUGCGCUAGCAUAUGCUGCCUGAGGGUCGAUUGGCUGGCUCCUCCAAUCGUACUCCUCCCCAUGGCGUUGAACCAUCUCCUGCCCAUACGAAGCCUGGAGGCAAACAAUAUCAAAUAUAAGUGCAUAACCCCUAUGCCCUUGCAAACAAUAUCAACACACAUAAUAGAGUAUCAAAAACUCACUAGACGGUCGGUGGCCGUCUGAGUGCAUAACACAUCAGGAUUCUGAGGAUCAGAACCCCUAUGCCCUUGCAUAUACACCUCCACAUCCGUGGGCGUACGGCCGGAUUUGACUUCCUGUACAUAAAAGUUAUAAUGACACAUUUCUAUGUGAUUCAAAGUUACGACAAACUGUGACUUACCAUUCGCUUAGCCAAGCGCACAUGACCAUCACCGCCGUAGUUGUGGAACGACUCAGUCCCACGGUUUCCCCUGUUCCUUUCGGAAAUGGCACGAAACUAAGGGGAAGCCCACCAUCUGCACAAUGCCCAUAACCGUCUGAUCGGGUGGCCAUCCACGGCACCGACACCUACAUGAAAUUUUUUAAAUAAAGCAAGCAAAUACAUGGCUUUGUGCGAUAUGAGAGGCAACAACCUGUUUACCUCUAGGUAUUGCUCCUCCGUCAAGUAAAUUGAUGACCACUCGGCCUUUGUAUUUGGCAUCGGUCGAUCAUCAUCAUUUGCUCUGUACCAUGCCUUUAUAGCCUGAAUUCCUGCAUAGUACAUUGCAUCUGCAACGACAUCGUUCGCGUUAAACUCAAACACGUAACGAGCGUUCAUAUCAUAUGAUCCAUCGUCCGGCAACUUGUACCGUUUCUGCAAAAACCAUAGUGUUAUCAUAAAAGCAAACAUAUAUGGAAUAACUAAAAUAGUAUAAACAAGUCAUACCCAGAAUGCAUCCCAAACUAGUGCCUGUGUGUUGCCAAACGUUCUACAGACACCAUAGCGAUAAUGCUCCCAAGUGGUGGCGGGGACAGACUCGCCAGUAGGCAAAGUCACAACACCAGGCCAGUGCAGACAAACAAGAUUACCAAGAACCAUGUUCACCUGCCUGUAGUGUCCUGUGCUUGUGAACGAGUCGUCGAUCCAAGUCCUGCAAACAGAAAUCAAUGUAGAAAUUAAAACAUAACUUUCAAUAACAUUUAAGCAAAGAUAUGUCACUCACUUUCCACUAGGCUUUAUCACAACCCGAGAUUCGGGUGGAAGCUCUGGAGGUGGUCCAACAAAAUGCAGCUUCCUCGUUCUCUUAACUCGAGAAGUUCCAGACCCAGCUGCAGAAUCUCCACCAGCCCCAGAAUCCCCACCAGCGUCAUCUCCAGCAUCAUCUCCAACAUUAUCUCCACCAUCAUCUUCAACAUCAUCUCUUGCAUGAUCCUCUACCACUGGUUCCUCAAUUUCAGCAUCCUAUGAAACAAAUAACUUACAUCAUACAAUAUUAAGUAACUCAAAUAAUGUAAUUUAACAACUAACUUAAUCUUGUGGAGGCAAAUGUUCUGCCAGCGCUCUCCGUCUGCUCAUGGUAGAACCUGUGCCCUGAAAAACUGAAUCCUCACCCCUCGAGCUGCUCCUCGAGCUACUCCUCGACCCAAGCAAACUAUGAGCUAAAGACUUCAUUUUCUUUGACAUCCUAUUUUAACAAAAACAAGUUAGUACAUAAAUCGACAAUAAAAUAAUAAAAUAUGCAAUAAAAUCAUGAUCCAUACUCGUCAAUCGUAAUCGUAAUCAAAAUCAGGAUCUAGUUGCUUUCGUCGAUUUAAUGGACGCCAAGUAGCUUUCUUCUUUCUCGUCACUCGUUUUCUUUUUGGAGGAACCUCUACAUCAUUUUGAUCGCCUAAUAAAGAUUCUUCCAACAUUUCAGUUUGUACAUUAAACGUGCUUGUAAGUUCUUCGUCUUGGAAAAUCUCAGCAGCCCCCACUUCCUGCUCGAUUUGACUUUCAACAUAACCAGCAUCACCAGGAGCAUAUAGUCGUUCACGCGGAUUAACUUUGUACACUACCCUCCAAUCAACCAAACCGUUUUUCUUAGAUGGAUAUGUCAUAUAAUACACCUGCUCGCAUUGGUGGGCAAGGAUUAUAGUGUCGUGGCCUUUUAAUCUAUCGUUGUGUUUGACUUCCACCAUGCCAUAUUGAUUUUCUCGCGUUGUGUUUGACUUCCACCAUGCAAGUGCUGAUAAUGCUUUCACCCAUAUUUCGUUCCUGGUGCAUGACAUCAAUGUUAUGCAUUAGAAUCAAGGCUUUCAUAUAAGGGAGUUCCCAUAGACCACAUUUGUGAGUCCAAUUAUGCUCGGUUCCAUAACCUUUAAAACGAUUUCCAUGUUCGUUUAGUUUCAAAUCAUUAAGUCUCGCGAGAAUCUCUGGACCACUUAGACGCUUGGGUGGUCCCCUCGUCACAAUCGUGUCCUUUUUAAAAGCGUUCCUAUCGAACCUGAACGGGUGAUCCUCUGGCAAAAAACAUCUAUGGCAAUCGAAGUAACAUAUCUUUCCACCAAACUUUAGUCGAAAGCAUAAAGUGUCUUCAACGCAUAUAGGACAUGUCAAAAUCCCAUGACAACUCCAUCCAGCAAAGAUACCAUAAGCCAUAAAAUCAUGAAUAGACCAUAAAAACGCGGCUCUCAGGUUGAACUUCUGUUUCUUGUAACAAUCGUAUGCCUCGACUCCUUCCCACAAAAUUUUCAAUUCUUCAAUCAGGGGUCUCAUCAUCACAUCGAUCUUUGUUCCAGGAUGAUCCGGACCAGGUAUUAUAAGACACAAGAAAAUAAAUUCAUAUUUCAUGCAAAGAGCUGGUGGAAGGUUGUAUGGAACAGCAAAGACGGGCCAACAUGAGUACGACGUUGCAGUUAGAUUGAAUGGUGAGAAACCAUCUGUUGCCAAACCGAAGCGGACAUUCCGCACUUCAUCAGCAAAGCUGGAAUCAAAAGCAUCUAGUGCCUUCCAUGCAUCUGUAUCAGCUGGGUGCACCAUGACAUUUGGAUUCUCAUGUACCCCUUCUUUGUGCCACCUCAUGUGUCUGGCUGUAUUCUUGGAGAUAAACAAACGUUUCAACCGAGGUAUGAGAGGCAUGUAACGAAGCUGCUUACGUGCAAUCUUCGUAGUCACGGUCAAACCAUCGUCGUUUUCAACCUCAACGAAUCUACGCUCACCACAUACAGUACACUUCUUCUCACCUGCGGUCUCCUUCCAGAAAAGCAUACAAUUAUUUUCACAGACAUCGAUUUUUUCGUAGUCCAUACCGAGGCCAGAUAACAGCUUUUUAGACUGAUACAUGUCCUUUGGCAUCUUGUGAUUCUCCGGAAGUACAUCACUGAUCAAGUUCAAAAGUUCCUUGUAACAGUUAUUUGAGAAUGCAAACUUAGACUUAAUAGCCAUAAGUCGAGUCACAAAUACAAGGACGGUCACUUUUGUGUGCUCAUGCAACGGCUCUUCGGCAGCUUUAAGGAGCUCGAAGAACUUCUGAACCUCAGGUGUAGCUGGAUCCUCAAACUCGGUGGGUUGACCGGGGUUCUCCGAAUCGACGGUUAGAAACUCAUGGCGUACAUCGUCAAGCAUCUCUUCCAUCCUAUCGUAGUCCUCCUCUUCAUGUGACUGAACUUCCGAUACAAUACGAGGAGGUGGGUCCUCACCGUGGUGCACCCACACCUCAUAGCCUGGCAUAUAACCGUUCUUGCAAAUAUGUAUCGACAUAGUCCUCCUGUCAAGGAAAUUAAUGUUCCGACACUUGCUACAAGGGCACCUAACAUCGGUUCCAGUCUCUGACCGAGCAAAAGCAUGGUCGAGAAAAGCAUCAGUCUUGGCCACCCACUCACUUGAUAGAGCACCUCUUUUCUUCCAACCUUCAUACAUCCAUCGACGAUUCUCCUCCAUACUAGAUACGAGACGUUAACUUAAUUAGAUAAGUAAUGCACGGGCCAUCCGUUUUUACGAAGAAAUCACGCCCCUACAUCUGUAGGAAAGGAUAGGUCCUAAACCCACCCAGGAGUGACCGACGAGGCCGUGUUUAUGACAAGACAUGUGGUCGUGCGAAAUUUCGGCAGCAUAACCCCGUUGUUCUCCAAUCGCACGCCUAAAAAUGGUGCAAUUGGAGAACAGAGAGGUUAUGCUGCCGAAACUAAGCAGGAGCACAUGCUUUUGUCAUAAACACGGACUCUGUCGGUCACCCCGAGGCUGUCCAAUAAAGGGACAAUUCCGGCCCAACAUACCUCACAUGCGUCGCUUGUAAGGUGUGUUGGGCCGAAACGGGUGACGCCUAGGUUUCGUUUGUUCACACUACGAUACACUAUGAUUAACUAUAAUCAUCGUGCAUUAUUAAAUAAUUAAACUAAUAAACCACAAUACAAUAUUACAUACGAAAUAACAUUGUUAUAGAUGACAAAUCAUAUAAAAUGGCAUUAUUUCCGAGGGCAUAAUAAUUACCCUCGGAAAUUAAAAAUUUAAAUUAUCUAAAGUACCACUAAAUAAACUAAAACAAGCUACUUUAAUUACGUAAUCAAAUUUUGGUCGUCGGACAUAACAAACUAAACAAUCAAAUGCAUUCAUACAUACAAUUCUAAUCAAAUACAUUAAUACAAGCAUACAAUUCUAAUCAAAUAAAUUAAUACAAGCAUACAAUUUUAAUAAACAAAAUUGCUAAUUAAGUAUACUCACUUAGCGAGCGUGGGGAGCCGGCCGGCGACGGGCGCACGGGGCCGUUGGCCGGAGCACGGGGCGGCGGCCGGAGCACGGGGCGGCGGAGACCGGCGAACGGGGCGGCGGCGGCCGGAGCACGGGGCGGAGCUCGGGGCGGUGGCCGGAGCACGGGCCGGACCACGGGGCGGCGGCGGCGGGAGCACGGGCGCGGCGGGCGUGGCGGCGACCGAGCGCGAGCGGCGGCUAUGGUGGCGGCGACCGAGGCUGUGCGGGACGGCGGCGGCGGCAGAGAGAAACGGCGCGCGGUGAAAUGAAAGCCGCGCGGGUCCGAUCCGCGCGUUAAAAAGCCUUAUCUCCGACGGCUAGGUACGGGGCCGUCGGAGAUAACCUUAUCUUCGACGGCUCGGUACGAGGCCGUCGGAGAUAAGCGCUAUUUCCGACAGCCGGUUGUGGCCGUCGGACAUAACCUUAUCUCCGACGGCUAGGUACGAGGCCGUCGGAGAUAAGGAGGCCGUCGGAAAUGCUUUGUUUUACUGUAGUGCUUGCCUAAACAAAGGAAUAAAAUAAUUAAUAGAAAUAUAUAUAUAUAUAUAAUUUGCAUUCAUGCCGAGAUUUUGGAUUGUUGCAUUUGAACAUAAAUUUGGAGUUUGGAUUUUUAUGUGAAUUUAAAAAAACUGAUAACAGAACAAAUAGAAAAAACAAAACGAAACCAACUUACCUAAUCUAGCCACUUAGAUUCAUGGCACAGUCCCUUUCCCACCCCACGUGACGCAUGCCCACAUGGUCCACCUAUCGGCCCAACUCAGACCCCGCCGCAGAGGCGCAUUCGUGAAAAGUCAUAACCCCAGUGUCCUCUAUCCUGUGUUGCCGCCAUGUGGGCCUGUCUGUCCAGCGUCGUCCUCAUCCCUUCUCUGAUACAACAAACUCCCAACAAACUCGUGUCCAUGCCGUCCUUAUCUCCUCUACCAUGAAUCUCUGAUGUAGAUAUAAACGGCCCCAGGCAUCGCAUACCCCCCCCCACACCUCCUUCAUUCGUCGCUAGGCAGCCUCGCCAGCCCUGGACGCGGCAGUCCUCACUAGGAAGCUAGUUUCCGCCACCGGUGCCACCGUCGCAGGGAGGAAGAGCGGAGAACGCCGCUGCGCGUGUUGCAUUGUCAAAAGGGAUCUCGGCAACAAGCCUAGGAGUGUCGCCCGAGCUCUCCGCGUGCGUUCAAAGCUUCACCGGGGUGGAGUUGAUGCUAGGGGACCUCAAAAUUGCUCAACGGAGCAAUUCCUCCGCCGUGUGCCACCUCAUGUCGUGAGUCGUGCAACCACCACCGCAGUUUCGGGUAAGGAUCCCUGCACCCGAUUCAGAUCAUGAUCCUCUCCGCUUCAUACGGGCUUAUCCGCGACUGUGUUAGGGCAUCAGCGCGCGGGAGCAUCAACUCCGGCGAUGGCAAAGGAAACAAGGGGACUCUCUUUUCUGGAAAAGCAUUCUGGAAGUAAAAGAGGUGUUUUACAAAAACUGCAAAAGAAUCAUUGGAGAUGGUAAAUCAACCAGUUUUUGGAAUGAUUGUUGGUGUGGGAAUACUCCUCUCUCGGUAAGAUUUAAAAGACUUCAUGAUUUAUCUCUUAAUAAAGAGAUAAGUGUAGAAAAGGUGAUAAGUACGAAUUCUGAAUCCUUAACCUUUAGAAGGAGGCUAGUGGGAGCUGGGGCUGACAAUCUCAAGGAGAUGAUAUCCUCAUAUGAGGACAUCUGUCUUAAUGAUUCAAGAGAUAAUGUUAUUUGGUUACUAGAUAAAAAAGGAUUUUCGGUCAAAUCCCUUUACCUUAAUUGUCGAAACAAUUUGGGUCGGGUGCCUUAUAUGUUCAUCUGGAACGCUAAAAUCCCCCAAAGGAUAAAAGUUUUCCUUUGGCUUCUUUUGAGAGACAGGAUUCUAUCCAAGGCAAAUCUUAGCAAAAGGAAUUGGCAAGGAAACAUCAAUUGCACUUGGUGUGAUUGCCUAGAAACUACGCAACACAUCUUCUUUGACUGUCAGAUAGCGAAGUUUACAUGGAGAGUGGUGCAGAUGGUGCUACAUCCCAUUUGUAUUCCCAUGAAUCCCAGUGAGAUGUUUAGCCACUGGCUCCAUCUAUUCAAUAAACGAGACAUGAAUUUGUUGACAGUGGGAUGUAGUGCAGUUCUUUGGACUCUUUGGAAAAUAAGAAACGAAGCUUGUUUUGAUGAUAAAAGAAUAGUUAAUACGUUAGACAUCUUUAUAUUGUGUUGUUUUUGGAUGAACUCAUGGAUUUUAUUACAGAAAAAAUCGGCAAGAAGGAUGCUGGAGGAAAGAAGCAAUCAGAUCAGGAAAAUGGCUAGUGAGUUCUUCAGUCGAGCUUGGGGAUGGUCUCCAGUUGACAGGAGGCUGACGCAGUGAUCGGUUGAGCGGGGGAUCUUUUUUGGCGAUGAUGCUUCUUUCUGUUCUUGAACCUAGAGACUCUUUUGGCUAUUAUAUCAGGAUGUCGGUCUGUAAUAAUGUCUUGGUUAAACCCCCUUUCUUGUCUUAGUCGUCUUGGUUUGGCAAUAGAUUUUGGGUCAGGUCUGAUAAUAGAUGUUGCUGGAUUAGUUGCUGAGCUUUUGUUGCCAAUUGCUUGUUUUGGCUAAGACAUUUCUGGUGUGUGUCUGUAUGUGUUUCCUGUUUCUUAAUGAAAUAGGGGGGAAACCCCUUUUCGUCAAAAAACUCCGGCGAUGGCGCCGCCACCUUGUUGGUGCGCGAUGCCGCUCUGCUCGACUGUGGGAUGAGGGUCUUCGGACCGUUGAUUCCAUCAUGGGCAGUGUAGAUUAGAAGGAUGAAUAACCCUUCGGUUAAUUAAAUCAUGAUCGAUGAUCCAAGGGCUCAGAUGUGAUCAACGUGUGAUCGUAUUACGAGCCGUGGAUCCCUGAUCCGGUGGCCCGUGUUGAAUACCAGUUCAUAACGUUAAGGGGCUUUUAAUCUGGACUGUUGGUCUACAGAUCUAUGGUCCAUGGUGCAUGCAACCGAUGUGGUUGUGGCGUUCUUGCGUAAGAAACCCUCAGAGUUUUAUAAAACCAACCCGCGAUCCUUCUUUGCUGAAACUGCUCACAAGCAAGUCCCUAAAAUUCACAAGUAAGUCAUUGGUACUCGACUUUAAUAUGAAAUUAAUAUUAAAAUAGCCUUAAAACUUAUAAAAUCCAUAUUUUCUUCAUAUUAACUCUGAUUUAGUCCGUUCAAGUUGCGUUAUCUUUGUAGUAAUGUCAUCUACCCCUUAGUAAACCUUAUUUUACUAUUUAACAUGUCCUCAAAAUUAAAUAUUGAUUUGCCCCAUGUUUACUAGAUUAGCUUUUCUAAAACAAAGCUAAAUUGUUCCAUCUAUAAUUUGAUUAAAAUAUAAUCCUUAAUCAAGUUAUAACUUAGAUUAAAGUUGAAUUAGCUAUUUCCUUAAUAUCUUUUCUCAUAUGAUUUACAUUCAUCAACAUAUAAUAUAGUUAUUAUUAUUUAAUCACGAAAAUCUUCCGAAAUUCAUAUCGUAACUCCGAAUUUAUUGUUUCUUGAACCCACGAUGGCCUCGAAAGCGUGGAAGAAAGGCCUCCACCUUCGCAGGGGAAGCCCGCUGUCCUCGUGCCGUGGUAGCGGCGGUGGAUGUAGGCAAGCCGGUGACGACGAGUAGAGUCAGGGGGUGCGAGCAGUGGACGAGCGGAACGGGUGGGUGCAGAUAGAUUGAACUGGGACUAGGAGAAUUGGCACGCCUUGUUAUAUAGAGCUUAGCUAGCCAUUGUCAGUUGCCAUGCACGCGAAUAGAUAGAGACCGAUAGAUACUAGCAUCGAUCUAGACACGGGGACAUGCAUAUGCUAGCUCCACGAGCCCUAUGCAUGCAUGAGUAUUGAGUAGUAUAGUCUCUUUCGGACCCGGGAGUGAAACUUAAAAAGUUAUACAUGGAUUCAUUAGUCUAAUUAAGUUUAACGGGCCAAAGCCCAAAUAAAACACCAUGCACGAUACGUAACAGAACGGAAAUCUUGUCGCACGAUGCCAUUCUUCAAGUAGGCAAUUGUAGUGAUGAAAUAAAUAAUUAUUCAAAUAUCAAUUUUUUUAUUACGAACAAAUAGGAUAUAGAAUCCUCUAUGCAAAUUUGUAUUCACGUUUUUAGCAUUUAGCUUAUAAAGAUUUAUAAAAGGUAAGACUUAAUUUUAUCAUAUAUCUUAUCAAAUAUAGAUAUAAAAUUCAUAUACAAAGUCAGAUACAAAUACGAAUAUUUUUCACCUUUUUCAUUGCAGGGAGCAAAUAACACAUCAAAUAAUUUAUACAACAUUUUAUUCUUGUUUGUGAUCAUGUUCUUGAUAGCAUAAGAAAAAAUCAACAACAAAUUUCAUAUGGAUCUUUUAAAAUAUUAAAUUGUCCUAAUAAUUUAGAUAUCCACAUUCAUCCCUAUACAAUCAUGAUAUGCUCUGCACGCUCGCAAUGUCAUCCUUUUCUAUGCCUAUGCGUUGCCCCACCGAUGUUGUGUCGAUGCUAGCAACUGACUUGCACUUGUGCAUGUCCAAAUGCGUCCAGGCGCAACAGCAUGAUUACGGUCGCGCCACUGUGCACGCACACCGCCUACCAUCUCCAGAUGGGACAUCUAAUACGACAGGAAAAGCAGAUUGGGCCUCGGGCACAAAUUUCCGUCUCGCCCGACGCUGGGCUCGCCCUCGGGCGCAAUCUCCAUCUCGCCCGAUGCUGAGCUCGUCCUCGGGUGCCAUCUCUGCCUCGCCCGAGCUUGGCCUCGGCUACCUUCUCUCUGCGAAUCCCGCAAGCAACCACUCCGCCAACUGUGGCAUAAGUCAGGGAAAGCUCGACAGUCGCCUCGGGAAAACUUUCGACUCGCCCGAGCAAGGCUCCAGGGGCGAAGCUAUAUUGAGUUUAGGGGGUGCAGAUGCACCCCAUUAAAAAUAUAAAACUAGUUAUGAUGAUCAAUUUUUCACCUUAUACGCCUACUGCUCCAUCCCCUUACGUGGCCCGCCGGCCACUUACUGCCUCCGGUCAUUUUGAUGGAACCCCUUGGUGUGCAAUAGUCUAGCAACGCUCGCGGUCCCGCUCCCUACCUCUCCGGUGAGGCCGCCGUGCCCUGCCAAACCGUUGGCCACCCUGUGCUAGAAAGUGCGGAAGAAUGUGGGGGUGUUGCAGCGGUAUGAAAAAUAGUUUGCAUUUUCCAAUGGGAGACUGAGGUGGAAGACGAGGGCACCGACUAGGGAUGGGAAUCGAAUUCCCCGUCGGGUUUUAAUGUGUCCCUGUCUUCGCGACAAUUGUUUUUCCCACAAAGAUCUCCACGAAUAUUUGUAGGGGACAUUUCUUUCCCCGCAAGGAUAAAUCCCUGUUGGGAUCCUCGUCCCCGCUUACAUUAUAAUUAAAAUAUAUUUCAUAUGUUAUUAAUCCAAAGCAUUGUCACUUAUACAUGUUGUCAAAUAUAAAUUCAUUAUGUAUAUAUUAAAAUAAACACAUUUAUAUAUGAGUGAUCUUUGACAAGGUAGUUAUUUAUUUUUAUUAUUAACUAUUACAUAAAAACAUCAUCACGUGUAAGUUUAACGGGUCCCAUCACCUAAGGACUAAUAUGGAAAAUCCAUUUUUCCGAGGGAUUUCAAUUUUCCUAGGGAAAAUGAACUAAUUUUCCUUAUGAAAAUGGAAAUCCCUUGAAAAAUGAGGUUCUCAAACUAGCCCUAAUGGAAGAAUUCUCCGCGGAGAAUCGGGAAUCGGGUCACAUUGAUCUUUCCAUACUGCAUAUUUCUGCUAAAAUUUAUAUAACACUAGGUGUAUGUGAAUGGAAUAAAGUGAAGUGUAAGGCUAUCUCCAACAGUUUACCUAUAUUCAUAUCUAUAUUCAAACUCCAAUCUGCAAAUAGUAUAAAACAUUAUUUUGCGUGACUAUAUGGAUGAAAUGUUAGAUAUGGUCUAAUGCGUCGAUAGAUGUUAUGAAUUUGUCAGAUUUUUCGUAGUGGUUAAAGUGUAGCCUGUUAAACAAGUAUUUGGAUGUGUGAUCACGAUGUAAUACUGUCGGGGACCAUAAUUAGGGGUACCCCCAAGACUCCUAAAUCUCAGCUGGUAACCCCCAUCAGCACAAAGCUGCAAAGGCCUGAUGGGCACGAUUCUGGUCAAGGCACCGUCCACUCAAGAGACACGAUCUCGCCACGCCCGAGCCCAGCCUCGGGCAAAGGCAGCCGACCCAGGAGGAUUCACGACUCGCCCGAGGGUCCCCUCAAGCAACGGACGCACCUUCGACUCGCCCGAGGCCCAGCUCGGGCAGGCUUCGUGGAGAAGCAACCUUGGCCGGAUCGCCACGCCAACCGACCGUAUCGCAGGAGCAUUCAAUGCAAGGAUCGACUGACACCUUAUCCUGACGCGCGCUCCUCAGUCGACAGAGCCGAAGUGACCGCAGUCACUUCACCGCUCCACUGACCGACCUGACGGGAAAACAGCGCCGCCUGGCUCGCUUCGACUGCUGUGCCACUCGACAAAGUGAGGCUGACAACAGCUAAGUCCAUCCUCGGGCGUCAUAGGAAGCUCCGCCUCGUCCGACCCUAGGGCUCGGACUCAGCCUCGACCUCGGAAGAUGGACUCCGCCUCGCCCGACCCUAGGGCUCGGACUCAGCCUCGACCUCGGAAGACGGACUCCGCCUCGCCCGACCCCAGGGCUCGGACUCAGCCUCGACCUCGGACGAUGGUCUCCGCCUCGCCCGACCCUCGGGCCCGGACUCAGCCUCGACCUCGGAGGAGCCUCCGCCUCGCCCGACCCCGGGCUCGGACCGACCACGUCACAGGGGGGCCAUCAUUACCCUACCCCUAGCUAGCUCAGGCUACGGGGAACAAGACCGGCGUCCCAUCUGGCUCGCCCCAGUAAACAAGUAAUGAUGGCACCCCGCGUGCUCCGUGACAACGGCGGCUCUCAGCCCCUUACGGAAGCAAGGAGACAUCAGCAAGGAUCCGACAGCCCCGACAGCUGUACUUCCACAGGGCUCAAGCACUCCUCCGACGGCCACGACAUCACAUGAACAGGGCGCCAAAACCUAUCCGACUGCCACGACGGCAUGUACUUAGGGCUCUGGCUCCUCUCAGCUAGACAUGUUAGCGCAUUGCGACACCCCCAUUGUACACAUGGGCCCUCUCCUUACGUCUAUAAAAGGAAGGUCCAGGGCUCUCGUACGAGAAGGUUGGUCGCGCGGGAGAACGGGCUGGCGGACGACCUCUCUCUCUCUCUCACUCUCCCUCGCGGACGCUUGUAACCCCCUACUGCAAGCGCACCCGACCUGGGCAUAGGGCAACACGAAGGCCGCAGGUUUCCCCUUUGUUGUUUCUCCCCCCUUUGUGCUCCGUCUCGCACCGACCCAUCUGGGCUGGGACACGCGGCGACAAUUUACUCGUCGGUCCAGGGACCCCCCGGGGUCGAAACGCCGACAGUUGGCGCGCCAGGUAGGGGCCUGCUGCGUGUUGACGAACAGCUUCCCGUCAAGCUCUAGAUGGGUAGUCUCCAGCAACCUCUCCAACCUGGGACGAUGCUUCGUUUCGGGAGUCUUGAGUUCAUGUCCCUCGACGGCAGCUACGACAUGAUACUCCUUCCUCCGCAGCGCGACAACGAUAAUGGUGGCCAUCAGCCCGCCCGCCGGCGGCGGAAUCGACGACGUCUUCCCCACGUGGCGGAAGAGCAACAUCCGGGUCUGUCCUGUCACCUUCCCCGCCGACGGAGGAGGAGGCGGGGCAGGCAUGGCCAAGCAGGAGGCGGCACCUCGUCGGCUGUCGAGCGAGUCGACGGCGCCGACGCCCCAGCGGGGGACACGUCGGGCGUUGACCUCGCGUCUGAGACGAAGACGAGCGUCGUCUCCCCGCAACACGCCAACCCCAAGCAGACGGACGACGCCAGCACACUCGCGAAGGACUUGCUGGGCGUCAGCCUCGUACCUGAGACAACGGUGCAGUCCAUCCCCGACGCGACUUCGUCACCGCCCGUCGAUCGAGAGGUACCGUCCGUUUCUCGUCCCAUGCCUUUCAGAUUCAGCUGCGACCCACCAAGCGACCCCGCUUCGGUGGACGCUUUCAUAAAGGCAUGUCCAAACCCUCCGGGUGUAACACCCGGGUUUUAGGGGUCCAAAGCCCGGGCGUAAACAUAAUCACCAGGUGUGCUGGGACCAAGUCUCACACAUAUGAUGAAUCAUGGCACAGGAUCGAAUGUCACAUCUUUACUAUAUAACAGGAGUUCUAUACAAAAUAAAUAGAUAAUUACAUUAUAGGGAGACAACGGUCCAGCAACCCAAAGUUGACUGGGAGACGAUGACCUAGACCUCUCACGAACUCAUCACAGCAUCCUCCAUGAGCAUCAUCCUGCAGUACCUGUUCUUGACCUGUGGGGGGGUGUGAGACAGCAAGAGUGAGCUCACAUACGUUCAUCGCUCAGCAAGUUGUGGGGAAUAAUGUGCAUGAACUCGCCAAAGGCGGGAGCUCAUGUGAAGUGUAAGGCUUACCAAAGAGGAUGGUUAGAGCUGAGCAUUGCUUUUAAAGUUGGUCAAAAUUUUAUUAGCAAUUACUAAGUAUAAGUAAAUACCAGCCCAGUUAAAUAGUAGAACAAAAGUAAUAACCUCACCUGCGAUGCAAUGCAUAUGACAAAUUGAGUUUAAGUUCCAUAAUUUAAUCAUGUGAGGGUCCGAGCUGCUCAUGACCGUGAGCACGGCUAGUAUACCAGUUUUACACUCUGCAGAGGUGGCGCAUCUUUACCCACAAGUCAUGUUACCCAUCUGCCAAGGGAUCGCGACUUCCCAUACACCUCUACCGAGGAGGCGAGGCAGGGUAACACUACGAGGCCUUUACAAAGUUCCACUAGCUUCAGAAAACCCGCUACAGUUUAUAGGAAGCUCCAAUGCAGGAAUCCCUUGCAGGACCGCCAUCACAGCAAAAUCCUCCCGAGGGCCUCCCCAGGAAUCCCUUGCAGGACCGCCAUCACAGCAAAAUCCUCCCGAGGGCCUUCCCAGGAAUCCCUUGCAGGACCGCCAUCACAGCAAAAUCCUCCCGAGGGCCUCCCUACACUGACCACUCCCCUACUGCCCUUGCCCCUUUCGGGUAAGGUAGUCCUCCACUAGCUUUCCUAAUUAAUCAGCCAAGGGCGUCCCAUUAAACCCUUGUGGUAGCACUGUUUUCCCGGGUGGUUCUCCAUGUUCCAAUUAACAUAAUGAUCUUAUCAUGAACAGUAAUAAUAAACAGAUAAUAACAGUGUGAUCAUGAAUAAUGUAUCCUCAUACCCAAAACCACAUAAAAGCACUAGCAAGUACUACCCAAAAAGUUCAGUGGUAAACAAGGUAUAAAGAUAAUCAAACUAGGGUAACCUAUUGGGUCCCAUCAAAAUUAACCUAUGCAGAUCAUUAUGAUUAAUUAGAACAUGAGUGGGUAAAAGAAGUGAUCAAGGGCACAACUUGCCUGAGACUUGAGAUUCCAGGUACCAGGAUGAUCUUCAGGUGACUCGUGACCUCACACUAGUCGUAGCAAUACAAACAAAUAUGGUAUAGGCAAAAUUAACAUCACAACAAACAUAAGAAUAAACUGAGUAAUAAUAAUCUACGCGUUGCUACGAGACUAACGCAACUGGAACGAGUCAAAUCGGAUUUAAAAUGAAGGAGAUACGGAUUUCCUAAGGUUUUAUGUAUUUGAUACAAGAUUAGUUAAGAAAUAAAUUUUAAUACCAUUUUCAUGUUAAAACAGAGGUGCUAUGUAAUGAACAACAUUAUUACAAAAUUUUAGGAACUGGAAUGAAGUAAUUUGGAGUUCAUAUGCAUUUUCUAUGAAUUAUUGAAGUUCUAGGGUUUAUUUUCAUAUUAAAAAUCCAAUUUCCAAUUCAUUUAAUCAAUUUAACUCGGCUCUGGACUGGGCGCAAUAAAUCUGAGAAAGACAGGGGCCUUAGCGCAAUUUAUCUGAAGACUCAGACUUAAUCCCCGCGCGGAUGGCGGGUUGGUUUCAAAGUUUGGCGGGGUUUCUUUUGUAAAACGUACCCGCGAAGGGGUACGGGCCAAUCCCGGCCGUUGGAUUAAAGUUCUACGGCUACGAUUAGACCGGCUUCGAAACGAAUCGGUACCCAGUAGGCACCGCACGAUUACAAAUCUACGGUUUGGAUUUAAAAUCCCCUGCGAUCGCCCCGACCCGUCCGAUCGCGAUCGGACGAUCCGCAUUUACCCUGGCCUGAUCCGCCCUCCCGAUCUAACCUGCACCCUUGAUUGCUCAAUCGACGGCUAGGCUCUCAUCCCCAACCACACGCCACGGCAGCGAGGUUGCCGCACGCGCUACGGCGGCGCUCCUCGCCGGAGUAACCGGAUACGGCAAUUCAGGGCCCCAGAGUCCGAUUGUAGGUAAACUAUACAAAUGCAGAGCUACGGUGAGACAUAGGGGAAGUUGUUACCGGCAAUUGGAACCGUGUUGCGGCCAGUCGACGGUGCAAAGCGGAUCCGAGGCGGAGCUGGGACACCGGUGAGCAAUCGAGGUGGCCCGAGCCAACCACAAGUCCAAAAUAGUCGGCGAUGAGGUUGCGCACGAAUCCGCGAGUUCCUCCGGGCACAAAACAGGGGGGGCGGCGAUAUGGUGCGAAGUUUUGGCGGCGGCGGCACCCGACAAUAGAGAUUCAGUUCCGGUGAAAUUUCGGUGACAGAGAGAGCCAUCCCGCCCGGCGUCGCCAUAACGAGCUUCAACGCGCCCUGGAGAUCUUCGAUGACCAUGCCACGCACACCGAGCGAAGGUAGAUGAGCGGAAUCACGACGACGGCAAGAAUAGCCGCGGCGGCAUCCACUCCUCUCUCAGAUUUGGUCUACGGGGAUGGCUCCCAGCACGAGGCGCCUCGGUUGAUUGUGAGGGGAGGCGGCCACGCUCAUAUACCGUCCAGGGGAGGUUAGAAUCCCGCGAUGCUCGUGAUUCAGCUGCAACAGACGCGGGUUCGCCGGCAAGGUUUGUUACGGAGAGUUCCGCAUCCUGGGCGCGCGACGCGGAGGAGACGGGUCCGACUCUAGGGCCCCACGCGUCAGUGUCACCAAGGGGAGGUAGGCGCGCAGGUGAACAGCUGGGCCGCGCGCGGGGAAAAGCGGGAGGUGGGCCGCGCGCGGAAGGAAGUGAAGUGGGCCAAAGAGGUGGUUUGGGCCCAUGCACGUUUUUCACCUUUCCCUUUUUAUUUUCCUUUUUCUGAAUUUACUUUCCUCUUUGUUUUUAUAAUUCAAAUUUGAAUUCAAUUCAAAUUGUAAGAUUAUACUCAUUUUAAAUGUACACAUUGAAACUAAUAAUAUGAAAGGUCCAAUUAUUUUUAUAUCUAUUUAUUUAUUAUUAUUUUUUUUAUAUAACAUUUUCCUUCUCUUCUCUAACCUCUAAUUUGCAAACUAGGGUUAAAUUCCCAAACUUUGGUAUUAAUAUAUUACUUUUAUAUUGUCACAGAAGGCACACAAAAUAAAAUUCCAGCAUGAUGCAUAAUUUAGUGGCACAUCAUUUAUUAAUUAUUUGUUUUUACAUAUGAUAUUCACAUGUGAUGAUAAGUAUAGUUCACAAAAUAUUGGGCUCUCCUCUAUUUUCACUAUUUACAUUUUUUGGGUAUUACAAAUCCUACCCCCCUUAAAAAUAAUCUCGUCCUCGAGAUUUGUAAGAAAAGGGAUAUAAAAGAAUUGGUUUGUGAUUUUAGCCUUUAAUUUCUAAUUGGUUCAAAAAUUCAGAGUUUCACAUUUUUUCCAUAGUGGGUGAUUUAGGAGAGCAUAGGUAUCCAACUACUUAUUAUGUAGGAUAUAAGAGAUGGAUAGGUUAGGGAAAGAAUAGUUUGGUGAUAAGAAGGUUCAUGGUAAGGAAAGCUUUUCAUCGCAAAUGAUGGGUCUUAUCUCAUUUGGAGAUCUGGUCUGCCUCCCUUCUUGCCUUGACGUUGAUCUUUUCCUUUCUUUCGGUCUUGGUGUCUCCAGCUAGGUUUUAGGGUCAUGUAGAUAUAUGUGGGUAGGAUAAGCCACAUGAGGUAGGUCAAGAUCUGGUUUGAUGUUUAGGUUGGAAUGGAUGGUUUAGACAACCCAUCGUGUAUGUUAAGUAGUUGUGUACGGCCAAGUUGUUAUAAGGCAUCAAUUUAGGUUAAAACGUAGCUAGUAGUGUCUAAUCUAUUUCACCAGUAUUAAUUAUCAUGUUUAAGUAGCCACAUUAGAUUAGAUCAUAUAAGAUUAGAUGGGAUCUAGAUUAGAUUGGUAUGACUAUAUUAAACUAGUUAGUGUCUAAUUACUUUGGAUUAGAUCAUGGUUAUUACUAGUGUAGGGUAAAUAUGCUUAUUGGGGUAAGAUGAAUUCAUAAGGAUAAGGUAGAAUCUUUUGAGGUCAGAUAAGAUAAAUCUUUUCAAGAUAAGAUGAGAAUCUAUUUUCUUUUAGGAUAAGAUGGAUCUAUGAGUGUGGGAUAGACUUUUUCAAGAUAAGAUGGAUUUUGCUAGGCUAGAUUCCUAGUUUAUUUGGAUAUUUUUAUAACGGUUUUUUUUUUUUAUAUGUAUAUGCAGAUGUGAUUGUGGACAUUACUCCACAACUCAUCACACUCAAUCAAAAAUCCAAAUCAAACAAGUAUCAUAAGAACAAACAUUCAAGUGCAUAGAUAACUAUAUAAAAAAAUUAGUUUUGUUUUUGUUCCUAGGAGUAGGUCUCCUAUUCCUAAAAGUCACUUUAGGCACAAGAUUUCAAAGUGUGAAAUCCACAUUUGCCUUUAGGAAAGAAAAGAUAAGAAUAAUCAGAGUAAAGCGGAAAUAGAUGAGAAAUGAUCAAUAUAAGCUUAGGAAAGAAUCAGAGUAAGGUAAGUAGGUAAGGGUUGUCCAAUUCUAUCUAGGUUUCGUCCUACAGUCAACAUUCCUCUGAUACCACUUCUGUAACACCCGGGUUUUAGGGGUCCAAAGCCCGGGCGUAAACAUAAUCACCAGGUGUGCUGGGACCAAGUCUCACACAUAUGAUGAAUCAUGGCACAGGAUCGAAUGUCACAUCUUUACUAUAUAACAGGAGUUCUAUAUGUAAUACCCAAAAAAUGUAAAUAGUGAAAAUAGAGGAGAGCCCAAUAUUUUGUGAACUAUACUUAUCAUCACAUGUGAAUAUCAUAUGUAAAAACAAAUAAUUAAUAAAUGAUGUGCCACUAAAUUAUGCAUCAUGCUGGAAUUUUAUUUUGUGUGCCUUCUGUGACAAUAUAAAAGUAAUAUAUUAAUACCAAAGUUUGGGAAUUUAACCCUAGUUUGCAAAUUAGAGGUUAGAGAAGAGAAGGAAAAUGUUAUAUAAAAAAAAUAAUAAUAAAUAAAUAGAUAUAAAAAUAAUUGGACCUUUCAUAUUAUUAGUUUCAAUGUGUACAUUUAAAAUGAGUAUAAUCUUACAAUUUGAAUUGAAUUCAAAUUUGAAUUAUAAAAACAAAGAGGAAAGUAAAUUCAGAAAAAGGAAAAUAAAAAGGGAAAGGUGAAAAACGUGCAUGGGCCCAAACCACCUCUUUGGCCCACUUCACUUCCUUCCGCGCGCGGCCCACCUCCCGCUUUUCCCCGCGCGCGGCCCAGCUGUUCACCUGCGCGCCUACCUCCCCUUGGUGACACUGACGCGUGGGGCCCUAGAGUCGGACCCGUCUCCUCCGCGUCGCGCGCCCAGGAUGCGGAACUCUCCGUAACAAACCUUGCCGGCGAACCCGCGUCUGUUGCAGCUGAAUCACGAGCAUCGCGGGAUUCUAACCUCCCCUGGACGGUAUAUGAGCGUGGCCGCCUCCCCUCACAAUCAACCGAGGCGCCUCGUGCUGGGAGCCAUCCCCGUAGACCAAAUCUGAGAGAGGAGUGGAUGCCGCCGCGGCUAUUCUUGCCGUCGUCGUGAUUCCGCUCAUCUACCUUCGCUCGGUGUGCGUGGCAUGGUCAUCGAAGAUCUCCAGGGCGCGUUGAAGCUCGUUAUGGCGACGCCGGGCGGGAUGGCUCUCUCUGUCACCGAAAUUUCACCGGAACUGAAUCUCUAUUGUCGGGUGCCGCCGCCGCCAAAACUUCGCACCAUAUCGCCGCCCCCCCUGUUUUGUGCCCGGAGGAACUCGCGGAUUCGUGCGCAACCUCAUCGCCGACUAUUUUGGACUUGUGGUUGGCUCGGGCCACCUCGAUUGCUCACCGGUGUCCCAGCUCCGCCUCGGAUCCGCUUUGCACCGUCGACUGGCCGCAACACGGUUCCAAUUGCCGGUAACAACUUCCCCUAUGUCUCACCGUAGCUCUGCAUUUGUAUAGUUUACCUACAAUCGGACUCUGGGGCCCUGAAUUGCCGUAUCCGGUUACUCCGGCGAGGAGCGCCGCCGUAGCGCGUGCGGCAACCUCGCUGCCGUGGCGUGUGGUUGGGGAUGAGAGCCUAGCCGUCGAUUGAGCAAUCAAGGGUGCAGGUUAGAUCGGGAGGGCGGAUCAGGCCAGGGUAAAUGCGGAUCGUCCGAUCGCGAUCGGACGGGUCGGGGCGAUCGCAGGGGAUUUUAAAUCCAAACCGUAGAUUUGUAAUCGUGCGGUGCCUACUGGGUACCGAUUCGUUUCGAAGCCGGUCUAAUCGUAGCCGUAGAACUUUAAUCCAACGGCCGGGAUUGGCCCGUACCCCUUCGCGGGUACGUUUUACAAAAGAAACCCCGCCAAACUUUGAAACCAACCCGCCAUCCGCGCGGGGAUUAAGUCUGAGUCUUCAGAUAAAUUGCGCUAAGGCCCCUGUCUUUCUCAGAUUUAUUGCGCCCAGUCCAGAGCCGAGUUAAAUUGAUUAAAUGAAUUGGAAAUUGGAUUUUUAAUAUGAAAAUAAACCCUAGAACUUCAAUAAUUCAUAGAAAAUGCAUAUGAACUCCAAAUUACUUCAUUCCAGUUCCUAAAAUUUUGUAAUAAUGUUGUUCAUUACAUAGCACCUCUGUUUUAACAUGAAAAUGGUAUUAAAAUUUAUUUCUUAACUAAUCUUGUAUCAAAUACAUAAAACCUUAGGAAAUCCGUAUCUCCUUCAUUUUAAAUCCGAUUUGACUCGUUCCAGUUGCGUUAGUCUCGUAGCAACGCGUAGAUUAUUAUUACUCAGUUUAUUCUUAUGUUUGUUGUGAUGUUAAUUUUGCCUAUACCAUAUUUGUUUGUAUUGCUACGACUAGUGUGAGGUCACGAGUCACCUGAAGAUCAUCCUGGUACCUGGAAUCUCAAGUCUCAGGCAAGUUGUGCCCUUGAUCACUUCUUUUACCCACUCAUGUUCUAAUUAAUCAUAAUGAUCUGCAUAGGUUAAUUUUGAUGGGACCCAAUAGGUUACCCUAGUUUGAUUAUCUUUAUACCUUGUUUACCACUGAACUUUUUGGGUAGUACUUGCUAGUGCUUUUAUGUGGUUUUGGGUAUGAGGAUACAUUAUUCAUGAUCACACUGUUAUUAUCUGUUUAUUAUUACUGUUCAUGAUAAGAUCAUUAUGUUAAUUGGAACAUGGAGAACCACCCGGGAAAACAGUGCUACCACAAGGGUUUAAUGGGACGCCCUUGGCUGAUUAAUUAGGAAAGCUAGUGGAGGACUACCUUACCCGAAAGGGGCAAGGGCAGUAGGGGAGUGGUCAGUGUAGGGAGGCCCUCGGGAGGAUUUUGCUGUGAUGGCGGUCCUGCAAGGGAUUCCUGGGAAGGCCCUCGGGAGGAUUUUGCUGUGAUGGCGGUCCUGCAAGGGAUUCCUGGGGAGGCCCUCGGGAGGAUUUUGCUGUGAUGGCGGUCCUGCAAGGGAUUCCUGCAUUGGAGCUUCCUAUAAACUGUAGCGGGUUUUCUGAAGCUAGUGGAACUUUGUAAAGGCCUCGUAGUGUUACCCUGCCUCGCCUCCUCGGUAGAGGUGUAUGGGAAGUCGCGAUCCCUUGGCAGAUGGGUAACAUGACUUGUGGGUAAAGAUGCGCCACCUCUGCAGAGUGUAAAACUGGUAUACUAGCCGUGCUCACGGUCAUGAGCAGCUCGGACCCUCACAUGAUUAAAUUAUGGAACUUAAACUCAAUUUGUCAUAUGCAUUGCAUCGCAGGUGAGGUUAUUACUUUUGUUCUACUAUUUAACUGGGCUGGUAUUUACUUAUACUUAGUAAUUGCUAAUAAAAUUUUGACCAACUUUAAAAGCAAUGCUCAGCUCUAACCAUCCUCUUUGGUAAGCCUUACACUUCACAUGAGCUCCCGCCUUUGGCGAGUUCAUGCACAUUAUUCCCCACAACUUGCUGAGCGAUGAACGUAUGUGAGCUCACUCUUGCUGUCUCACACCCCCCCACAGGUCAAGAACAGGUACUGCAGGAUGAUGCUCAUGGAGGAUGCUGUGAUGAGUUCGUGAGAGGUCUAGGUCAUCGUCUCCCAGUCAACUUUGGGUUGCUGGACCGUUGUCUCCCUAUAAUGUAAUUAUCUAUUUAUUUUGUAUAGAACUCCUGUUAUAUAGUAAAGAUGUGACAUUCGAUCCUGUGCCAUGAUUCAUCAUAUGUGUGAGACUUGGUCCCAGCACACCUGGUGAUUAUGUUUACGCCCGGGCUUUGGACCCCUAAAACCCGGGUGUUACACCGGGGUAUCAUAUGUGGUCACCCUGGGACCGGCUGACGGCCGUCUCGACCUACGGACCUCUGGGUUCCGAGGAAGAUGACGAGCCCGACUCUGGUUGGGAUUUCUCCGGGCUCGAUAACCCCAGCGCCAUGCGGGACUUCAUGACCGCAUGUGACUAAUGCCUCUCCGAUUGCUCCGAUAGCAGCCACAGCCUCGGCGACGAGGACUGUGGCCCAAGUCGUGAAUGCUUUCACGUCGAUCUAGGGGGUCUCGACGAAGGCAACCAUCUUGGUAUGCCGAAGGACGGUGAUCCCCCUAGGCCUGCGCCACGCGUUGACAUCCUUCGGGAGCUAGCUGUGGUCCCUGCGGGGGGUCAGGACGCACAGCUCGAGCAAAUCCGCGAGGUACAGACCAGGCUCGACGAGGAAGCAGGACAACUUGUGUAGCUUUGGCAAAAUAUCAGACAGGAGUGGGCAGGCCGAGCAUCGGCCGGAGAAGCGUGUCAUCUGGCCCAGGACGUCCAGCACCGCAUCACCGACGAUGCCAGGGCGAGGCUGCCCCCGGCUUCCAGUGGGGUCGGCCAGAACCUGGAUGCAGCAGCGAUACUACUCCGAGCGAUGUUGGAACCAUCCACCACCGAGGGGCGGCGUAUCCAGGGAGAGCUCAAGAAUCUCCUAGAAGAUGUCGUGGUCCGACGGGCCGAGAGCUCUGCCUCCCGGAGGCAGGUGUACCCCCGGAGCAUCGUGCUGCGGCUUCCCAAUUCAUGCGGGAAGCCUCGGUCCACACCGGGCGAACGCGGAACUCAGCGCCUGCGGCCCCGGGUCGCCUCGGCAACGAGCACCACCGUCGCGACCAUCGAGCCCACCUCGACGAGAAGGUGCGCCGAGGCUACCACCCCAGGCGUGGGGACGCUACGACAGCGGGGAGGAUCGGAGCCCCUCGCCUGAACCACCCGGUCCAUGAGCUUUCAGCCGGGCCAUACGACGGGCGCCGUUCCCGACCCGGUUCCGAACCCCGGCUACUAUCACCAAGUACUCAGGGGAGUCGAAGCCGAAACUGUGGCUCGCGGACUACCGGCUGGCCUGCCAGCUGGGUGGAACAGACGAUGACAACCUCAUCAUCCGUAACCUUCCCCUGUUCCUCUCUCACGCCGCCCGAGCCUGGCUGGAGCAUCUGCCCCCUGCGCAGAUCUCCAACUGGGACGACCUGGUCAAAGCUUUCGCCGGCAACUUCCAGGGCACAUACGUGCGCCCUGGGAACUCCUGGGAUCUCCGAAGCUGCCGCCAGCAGCCAGGAGAAUCCCUCCAGGACUACAUCCGACGAUUUUCGAAGCAGCGCACCGAGCUGCCCAACAUCACCGACUCGAAUGUCAUCGGCGCUUUCCUCGCCGGCACCACUUGCCGCGACCUGGUGAGCAAGCUGGGUCGCAAGACUCCCACCAGGGCGAGCGAGCUGAUGGACAUCGCCACCAAGUUCGCCUCUGGUCAGGAGGCCGUUGAGGCCAUCUUCCGGAAGGACAAGGAGCCUCAGGGGCGCCAGCUGGAAGACGUCCCCGAGGCGUAUGCUCAGCGCGGCGCGAAGAAGAAGGGCAAGAAGAAGUCGCAAGCGAAACGCGACGCCGCUGACGCAGACCUUGUCGCCGCCGCCGAGCACAGGAACCCUCGGAAGCCUCCCGGAAGCGCCAACCUGUUCGACAAGAUGCUCAAGGAGUCGUGCCCCUAUCAUUAGGGUCCCGUCAAGCACACCCUUGAGGAGUGUGUCAUGCUUCGGCGCUACUUCCACAGGGCCGGGCCACCGGCGGAAGGUGGCCGAGCCCACAACAACGACAAGAAGGAGGAUCACAAGGCAGAGGAGUUCCCCGAGGUCCACGACUGCUUCAUGAUCUACGGUGGGCAUGUGACGAACGCCUCGGCUCGGCACCGCAAGCAAGAGCGCCGGGAGGUCUGCUCGGUAAAGGUGGCAGCGCCAGUCUACCUAGACUGGUCUGACAAGCCCAUCACCUUUGACCAGGGCGACCACCCCGACCACGUGCCGAGCCCAGGGAAGUACCCGCUCGUUGUCGAUCCCGUCAUCGGCAACAUCAGGCUUACCAAGGUCCUCAUGGACGGAGGCAGCAGCCUCAACAUCAUCUACGCCGAGACCCUCGGGCUCCUGCAGAUCGAUCUGUCCUCGAUCCGGGCCAGCACGACGCCUUUUCACGGGAUCAUCCCUGGGAAACGCGUCCAACCCCUUGGGCAACUCGAUCUGCCCGUCUGCUUUAGGACUCCCUCCAACUUCCGAAGGGAAACCCUCACGUUCGAGGUGGUCGGGUUCUGAGGAACCUACCACGUAGUGCUGGGGAGACCAUGCUACACCAAGUUCAUGGCCGUCCCCAACUACACCUACCUCAAGCUCAAGAUGUCGGGCCCCAACGGGGUCAUCAUCGUCGGCUCCACCAUUCUGGACCAUGUUUUUCGACGGGUCAUUGAUGAAAACAGGAGCGGGCGCGGGCCUGCUCUUCAUCUCACCCAUCGGGAAGCACCUCCGCUACGUGCUGCGCCUCCAUUUCCCGGUGUCCAACAAUGUGGCCGAGUACGAGGCUCUGGUUAACGGGUUGCGCAUCGCCAUCGAGCUAGGGGUCCGAUGCCUCGACGCUCGUGGCGACUCACAGCUUGUCGUCGACCAAGUCGUGAAGAACUCCCACUGCCGCGACCCGAAGAUGGAAGCCUACUGCGAUGAGUUUCGGCGCCUGGAGGACAAGUUCUUCGGGCUCGAGCUCAACCACAUCGCCCGACGAUACAACGAGACUGCGGACGAGCUGGCUAAGAUAGCCUCGGGGCGGACAACGGUUCCCCCGGACGUCUUCUCCCGUUACCUACAUCAACCCUCAGUCAAGACCGACGACACGCCCGAGCCCGAGAAGGUCUCGGCCCUGCCCGAGGCGCCCUCGGCUUGGCCCGAGGCACCCUCGGCCCCCGAGGGUGAGGCACUGCGCGUCGAGGAAGAGCGGAAUGGGGUCCCGCCUAAUCGAGACUGGCAGACCCCGUACCUGCAAUAUCUCCACCGAGGAGAGCUACCCCUCGACCGAGCCGAAGCUCGGCGACUGGCGCGGCGCGCCAAGUCGUUCGUCUUGCCGGGUGACGGGAAGGAGUUCUACCACCGCAGCCCCUCAGGCAUCCUCCAGCGAUGCAUAUCCAUCGCCGAAGGUCAGGAGUUAUUACAAGAGAUACACUCGGGGGCUUGCGGUCACCACGCAGCACCUCGAGCCCUCGUUGAAAAUGCCUUCCGACAGGGUUUCUACUGGCCAACCGCGGUGGCCUACGCCACUAGGAUUGUACGCACCUGCCAAGGGUGUCAAUUCUACGCAAAGCAGACCCACCUGCCCGCUCAGGCUCUGCAAACAAUACCCAUCACCUGGCCGUUUGCUGUGUGGGGUCUGGACCUCGUCGGUCCCUUGCAGAAGGCAUCCGGGGGCUACACACACCUGCUGGUCGCUAUCGACAAAUUCUCCAAGUGGAUCGAGGUCCGACCCCUAAACAGCAUCAGGUCCGAACAGGCGGUGGCGUUCUUCACCAACAUCAUCCAUCACUUUGGGGUCCUGAACUCCAUCAUCACCGACAACGGCACCCAGUUCACCGGCAGAAAGUUCCUGGACUUCUGCGAGGAUCACCACAUCAGGGUGGACUGGGCCGCCGUAGCUCACCCCAUGACGAAUGGGCAAGUAUAGAGUGCCAACGACAUGAUUCUGCAAGGACUCAAGCCGCGGAUCUACAACGACCUCAACAAGUUCGACAGGCGAUGGAUGAAGGAACUCCCCUCGGUGGUCUGGAGUCUGAGGACAACGCUGAGCCGAGCCACGGGCUUCACGCCGUUUUUUCUAGUCUAUGGGGCCGAGGCCAUCUUGCCCACAGACUUAGAAUACGGUUCCCCGAGGACGAGGGCGUACGAUGACCGAAGCAAUCGAACCAACCGAGAAGACUCACUGGACCAGCUGGAAGAGGCUCGGGACAUGGCCUUACUACACUCGGCGCGGUAUCAGCAGUCCCUGCGACGCUACCACGCUCGAGGGGUUCGGUCCCGAGACCUCCAGGUGGGCGACUUGGUGCUUUGGCUACGACAAGACGCCCGAGGGCGCCACAAGCUCACACCUCCCUGGGAAGGGCCAUUCAUCAUCGCCAAGAUUUUGAAGCCCGGAACGUACAAGCUGGCCAACAGUCAAGGCGAGGUCUACAGCAACGCUUGGAACAUCCGACAGCUACGUCGCUUCUACCCUUAAGAUGUUUUUCAAGUCGUUCAUAUACCUCGCUUACAUACAAAGUCUAACCAUCAAGGAAGGGUCAGCCUUGCCUCGGCAAAGCCUGACCCUCCCUCGGGGGCUAGAAGGGGCGAACCCCCUCUGCGUCAAAAUUUUCCUCGGAAAAAAUCUUUCUGCCAAAACGUCUUUCGCGCUCUUCGACUGCUUCGAAAGUGGGAUCCUGAAAACGACGGAGCAGCCAAGGCCGACCGAGCCGAGGGACUCCUACGCCUCCGGGAUACGGAUACCUUACUCAUCACCUUCUGCGAUAAGUAACUCACGCUCGGAUAAGCGAUUCCGCUGACCGAACAAGUCUUAAUGCUCGAAAACUUUUCUGCCGAAAUGAUUUUUCGUGCCUUCUCGACUAUAUCGAUAACAGAAUCCUACGGACGAGUAAGAGUACAUGUAAGCGGCAAGGCCGACCGAGCCGAGGGACUCCUACGCCUCCGGGAUACGGAUACCUCACUCAUCACCAUCCAUGAAAAGUAACUCUCGCUCGGACAAACAAUUAUGUUACCGACAAAUAAGUCCAGAUACUCGAAACAAGGGGAAAAGAAACGCAGCUUUACAACACGACGACGAUAUGUUUGGGCCUCGGCGGCCGCCAAAAACAUACACACACUACAGAUAAACUGUUCCUGCAGGAUCAGACAUCAAUGGGGGAGCAGCAGCACCCUCGGCGUCGACUCCACCUUCGGCGGAAUCCGACCCAGCCUCGGACGGCAACACGGUUGGAGGAUCUCCACCUCGAAGGAACCUGUCGGCACCACGCCUGGGCCAUCACCGCUAGGGUCUCCUCCGGGAACCCGGCCCGAGCAGAUGGCUCAACCGGCCGCUCCGUAGCCUCAGCCAGCUGUCCCCCGAGGACGUCAGCCCGGCUCAUGGCCUCGGCAACCCGACUCCGGCGUCGGUCCCGCCAGUGGACGGCCCGGCCAGGCUCUGGCCGACGAAGCUUCUUUUCGAGCCAACUCUGCCUCUGUCCGUGCUGGCACCGCUGCCACUGGCUCCGUCUCAUCGCAGAGCGACCGAGGGUUCCUUUAACUAAGCAAGAGAAGCCUCGGGCGGCAAGGCCGACCGAGUCGAAGGACUCCUACGCCUCCGGGAUACGGAUACCUCACUCGUCACCUUCGCACGAGGCGACUCACACUUGGUUAAGCGGUUCAGUUAGUCGACAGGCGAGUCCUAGUGCUUGAAAUGAGGAAGAAACAUGGCUUCACGCCAAAAUACAUAAAUGUUCAGGCCCCGACAACCACGAUGAACAAACACCGGCACUCAAGGUGCCAUUACAGACGGAACUCCGGUUCCACCCCCGCGGGUAUGAACAACCUCCACAUAGGAGAGCCUGCGGGAUGACAAACUCCUGGUGAUUCGCCAGCAACCUCUGCGGCAGUAGCGAUGGUCCCAGGACGGACGCUGCCGCCGGAAGGCCCUUGUUCGCGUCCCCACUCAAGGGACGAGAACCAGACAUUAAAGCCAAAGAGCCGGAGGUCGGUCCGUGGGUAGCGCUGACAGGCUCGUCGGCGGAGAAGCUUUCUCCAGCUGCCACCACGUCAGCACCGAUGAUGGCGUCCACCUGUUCACCAACAUCGCACCAGCGAGCGCCGGCCGCCCCAAAGCGCACUGGCAGGUCCUCACUCCCGUCCUCACCACGAAAGCAAGGACAGAGGACGGAAUGUUGCACCCUGGCUGGGCAGCAACAGUUCGCCUUCCCCGGCAUGGCUGGAGGGCGCCUCCUCCGCAGAGCUGGAGGAUGGUUUCCACCCCCAGAAGCUGGAAGAAGAGGUGGCCCGCCGACCCGUGUGGGAGGUAGAGCUCCGGCUCAGCCCGCCCUCCGCCCCAGCAAGGAUGAUGAAGAUCCUUGAAGCUGAGGGCGGGGCAGAGGCCGCAGCCCGGCUCGCUUCUCCCCACCAUCGAACUGGUGGUCACCGUCUUGGGUGACCACCGGCGAGGGGAUGCAGCCGGGCUGCCUGAUGAAAAUCCUUGAAGCCGAGCGAUGGCUGAAAGGUACCAACUUCCGCGAAGUUGCGUUCCUCCAACGACGACAAGACGGAAGAACCGCGGGUGCUCCCCAUCCGGGGGCUCGGAAGGUGGAAGGGUGCAAUGCAUGAAGGGAGUGCGAAGACAUGGUUGCCAUCCAAGGGGGUCACCCUCCUUUUAAAGGCGACUCUCCCCACUUGCGUCCUCAGCCGUCGCGGACUGAGUCUUCACCAACACGCUCCAAGGUCCUCCCUCUAUGACACAGGGGCUGGGACCCACGCGUCAUGCAAGCUGGCCCAGGGCAGAAGAAGCCAAACCGGCGCGCGCGGUGCGCGUAACUGCCCAGCGGUUACAAGCACUCCUCCACUUUCGCCCAGACCAGCGGGUGAAAGGGCGGACCACCAUGCAGGCGGCAUGCAACCGCACCAAGGGGGCGCACCCUUUCGACUUCGACGCGUCCAGCAUGGAGGCACAGGCCCACACGUCAUGUAACCGGUGCGCCGGUUACUAUGUGCGAGAAACUGCACAGCCACUUGCGCCAGUACCGCGCCUUCUCGACUGCGGAACCAGUGCUGCGACUCGAGGCAACCCUGCGCAUGGCCCAACAGUGCCGACCGAGCACAUCGGUCACGGGUCAGCCAGCCGCGGGAGAAGGCACGACGGUCGAUACGACCAGAAAUGGGUCGGCAGUGAUGGCGGUGGCAGGCGGGUGGAAGCAGCGGUCAAGGCGUCUGCAGGCUCACGUCCCCUCCUGGGACAACGAGAGAGCCCUCUCCCACGGCGUGAAGACGACGCGCCCGUGUUCUGUUCCUCGAACGGCUCGCGCACGCACAACGGCUGCCCCGCGAACUACUCGUCCUGUCGCAUUAACUCUGCGGCAGGACAGGCGACACCUUUGGCAGGCGAAGCAAGCGACGCUUCACCUUCGCCAUAAUGACCGCGUCAAAAAAGGUGCGCCACGUCGUUCAAAUUCAUAUCCCUUUUUCUCUUCCCCUUUCUCUCUCUUGCUACAGGGACCGGGAAAGGGGAUACUCCGAAAUGGAUCCUUCUCCGCGAGGAAGCGGGCCCUGAGCCCCCCUACUGAUCAGAGGUUCGAAGGCUGGCCCCUCAGAAGGGUUCGACAGCCGCCUCAGAGCACUCGGGCUCCGAGCCCUCCUACUGAUCAGAGGUUCGAAGGCUGGCCCCUCGAAAGGGUUCGACAGCCGCCUCAGAGCACUCGGGCUCCGCACCCACUAUUGGUCAGAGGUUCGAAGGCUGGCCCCUCGGAGGGGUUCGACAGCCGCCUCAGACCACUCGGGCUCCGCGCCCACUACUGAUUAGGGGUUCGUAGGCUGGCCCCGAAGGGUUCGACAGUCGCCUCAGAGCACGCAAAGCGAGGGAUGACUCUGGGUACGUCCGAUACAUGGCCGAGGCUCGGGCUACGCUCCCGAGGUACCCUAGGACAUUUCCGAGACCAGCAGGAGCAAUUCUGUAACGGAAUCCCAUCAGAGGGAGGCAUCGAGCCCUCGGACCCUAUCAAACGGAACCGGGUCCGGCAAAUCAACUGCAGGUACUUUUGGAGCGCGCCUCUGGGCCACUAGCCGACCCUUAUCGAACGGGGCACGGGCGUCCACUCGGAUCACCCACUAGCAACUCACUGGAGACACCAUGUUCGGCGCCCUCCGAGGGCAACAUGGCGCUUUCCCCACUCCUCCUUGCGGAAAGGCGACGCAGGGGCGUAUGAAAAAAGCCGAGUCUGUCCUUGACCGUCCUCUCGCUCUGUGCGGAGGCUCGGGGGCUGCUCUCGCAAACCCGGCUCCGGCCAAACCGUUGACAGCGUCAACAUACCAGCCCGAGAACUUGGAACCUGACUAUGCACCCGGACUACGGCCAGUUCGCAUGAAGGAACAACCAGACCGGCCGAAGCAUCACAAAAGGCAUUAAGACCUCGAAGGAGUCAAACACUCCUCCGAGGCCUCGGGGGCUACACCCGGCGGGUGCGCUCGCGGGCACCCACCGGAACGAAAUGCAACCGAGAAAGGCCGGUCCCCUUGCAAAAAAGUGCGACAAAAGCCUCCAAGCGAGUACUAACACUCCCUUCGAGGCUCGGGGGCUACUGUCGGGGACCAUAAUUAGGGGUACCCCCAAGACUCCUAAAUCUCAGCUGGUAACCCCCAUCAGCACAAAGCUGCAAAGGCUUGAUGGGCGCGAUUCCGGUCAAGGCUCCAUCCACUCAAGAGACACGAUCUCGCCACGCCCGAGCCCAGCCUUGGGCAAAGGCAGCCGACCCAGGAGGAUUCACGACUCGCCCGAGGGUCCCCUCAAGCAACGGACGCACCUUCGACUCGCCUGAGGCCCAGCUCGGGCAGGCUUCACGGAGAAGCAACCUUGGCCGGAUCGCCACGCCAACCGACCGUAUUGCAGGAGCAUUCAAUGCAAGGAUCGACUGACACCUUAUCCUGACGCGCGCUCCUCAGUCGACAGAGCCGAAGUGACCGCUGUCACUUCGCCGCUCCACUGACCGACCUGACGGGAAAACAGCGCCGCCUGCCCCGCUUCGACUGCUGUGCCACUCGACAGAGUGAGGCUGACAACAGCUAAGUCCAGCCUCGGGUGCCAUAGGAAGCUCCGCCUCGCCCGACCCCAGGGCUCGGACUCAGCCUCGACCUCGGAAGACGGACUCCGCCUCGCCCGACCCUAGGGCUCGGACUCAGCCUCGACCUUGGAAGACGGACUCCGCCUCGCCCGACCCCAGGGCUCGGACUCAGCCUCGACCUCGGAAGACGGACUCCGCCUCGCCCGACCCCAGGGCUCGGACUCAGCCUCGACCUCGGAAGACGGACUCCACCUCGCCCGACCCCAGGGCUCGGACUCAGCCUCGACCUCGGACGACGGUCUCCGCCUCGCCCGACCCCCGGGCCGGGACUCAGCCUCGACCUCGGAGGAGCCUCCGCCUCGCCCGACCCCGGGCUCGGACCGACCACGUCACAGGGGGGGCGUCAUUACCCUACCCCUAGCUAGCUCAGGCUACGGGGAACAAGACCAGCGUCCCAUCUGGCUCGCCCCGGUAAACAAGUAAUGAUGGCACCCUGCGUGCUCCAUGACGACGGCGGCUCUCAGCCCCUUACGGAAGCAAGGAGACGUCAGCAAGGAUCCGACAGCCCCGACAGCUGUACUUCCACAGGGCUCAAGCACUCCUCCGACGGCCACGACAUCACAUGAACAGGGCGCCAAAACCUCUCCGACUGCCACGACGGCAUGUACUUAGGGCUCUGGCUCCUCUCAACUAGACACGUUAGCGCAUUGCUACACCCCCCAUUGUACACCUGGGCCCUCUCCUUACGUCUAUAAAAGGAAGGUCCAGGGCUCUCGUACGAGAAGGUUGGUCGCGCGGGAGAACGGGCUAGCGGACGGCCUCUCUCUCUCUCUCACUCUCCCUCGUGGACGCUUGUAACCCCUUACUGCAAGCGCACCCGACCUGGGCGCAAGGCAACACGAAGGCCGCGGGUUUCCCCUUUGCUGUUUCUCCUCCCUUUGUGUUCCGUCUCGCGCCGACCCAUCUGGGCUGGGACACGCGGCGACAAUUUACUCGUCGGUCCAGGGACCCCCGGGUCGAAACGCCGACAAAUACAAAAGAAAAUAAAUGGGAUCGUUAUCAGCUUACUCUAUUCACAGGAGUAGUUUUAUAGACGUUUUAUAUAUUAGAGUGUCGCAUCACAUUUUUUAUGAUAUAACACCAUAUUUGUUAGAGUUAAUUAGAAAUAUGUCACUUAAAUUUUGGAAAAAAAGAUAGAAACUAAUUUAAUUUAAUACCACUUCGUAGCAUCAAAAUGAACUAAUCAUCUAAUUUGUAAAAGUCGUAUGACACAUGAAAUUUAUCAUAUUUAUCAUAAAGUAUUGUAUAUGAAAUCAUGCCAACUCAAUUCCAAGACAUGGGAAAAUUCAUUAAAUCAUCGUUGAAAGUAAUUUUUUAUCUCCAUUUAUUUUAUACAUUUCUAUUAAUCAUUUAGAUGUAAUUUUUAUUGUCAUUGUAGUCUAUUUAUUUUUCCAAUUUUAUAAGCUUUUUCAAAGUUUCAAAGUUUUGGACAAUUUCUUUUUAAAAAAACAGCUAGAAAAUCGAUAUCGGUCUAGUCCGUUAACAAGAAACUAGAUCGGUUUACCGGUUUUGUAAUGCCUGCUGCCACCCAAACCCUGUACUCAACAGUUGAUCACCAACAGUCAAUCAAGUAUUUUCUCUUUGGAAUUCUUUGUAACCACACACUUGGAAUGAACCUCUCAAAUUCCUUUUGCGAUAAUACAGUUGAAUCCAUUUUGAUAAUGCACUUUGUAGUUGAUGGCCAGGGCCGGCCCUGAGGGGGGGUGCGGCCGCAGCGUGCCUCCAAAAACAGAGGGCCCUCUAGCCACUGGACGCUAACAUUUUUUUGUUAAACCUAUCUAUUCUAGACAUAAAUACGCAAAAAACAAUGCGCUAUCGAGUUAUCGACUAGUCUUGUUUAUAUUGUUAAACUUAUGUCUCAAUUACUUAUCGAAUACUUCAUCCGUAAAAUAGUAUUUGGUUUAUGUCGGCGUUUUGGACCCGCGAGGACCCUCAACCGACUAGUGAAUUUGACGCUGUGUGUCCCUGCCCAGAUGGGUCGAUGCAAGAUGAAACACAAGAGGGAGGAUGAGGCUUAUAUUAUCUUGCACCGGGGUGCUCGUAGUAGGGGUUACAAGCUUUGCGAGAGAGAGGGUUCGGCCUUGAGGUGAGCCGUCUGAGUUAGCCUCCUCCGCGUGUCCCCCCUUGGGAAGGCCCUGGACAUCCCCUUUUAUAGAUACAAGGAGACGGUCCAGCUGUACAUGGGGGUGUAGCUAUGUGCUAACGUGGUCGGCGGAGAAGUACUUGAGCCCUAUAGAAGCGCAGCUGGCGGUGCGACCUGGGUCCUGCUGACGUUUCUUUGCCUUCGUAGAGAGCUGAGAACAAUCGACGUCAUGGACGCAUGCAGGGAGCCAUCAUUACCUGUUAUUGGAGUAAUUUGAUGUGACACUGUUGGGACCAUGCUUCGUCGCCGAAGGUCCUGCAGGAAGAAACAGCUUCGGCUGAAGCUGUUUGUACGAGAUGCCGAAGGGUGCCGUUCAUGAAGCUUCGGAGUUACAAACCGACUUAAAGAUAGAAUGACCUUUUAAUCCAUAAGAGUUUUAGUCGCUGUUGUAAUCCCUUAUGAGGGGCACGAUUGUAAUUCCUCACAAGCUGUGUCCCGUGUCUAUAAAUAGUGAACAGUAUUCCCUUACUGUUCACGAAAUCUUGUAAUCACUGGCACAUUACGCUGGAAUUAUUGCUUUCUGCCAAGACGAAGGUAUAAAUGUAUCUAAAUAUUAUGUUUUAAUAUUUAGGUUCAAAUAAUAAAAUAUGUGAAUAAUGUUAUUUAUUUUCGGUAUGUCUUUCUAUAAUGUUUCAUGUUUUAUAUUUUACUUCGUAUUGUUUCUCAAGUCUGAUCACGAAGGUAUGACCUUCGAGAUAUUUUGCUUAUGGCCUUCGUCCGAAGUCCAUUAAAUCCUUGGGGAUAUAAUGCUUCAGCGGACGAAGGGCAUCAAUAUUUAACAUUUUAUGUUGCCUUGUUCUUAACUCAUAGCAUUUGAGAACAAGUUCCCAACAUUGGCGCCCACCUCCGGUCAACUCACUUCCACUUUUUGAGCUGAUGGCUUCGAUUAACGAUCAAGUUGGAGCUGCUUCGGCCCCGAAGCUGGUGCUCCCGAUAACAGGUGGUUCGUGCUCCGAACCAGCCAACAAAAAGCAGAAGAAAGAGGCGCAGAGAAGGGUACAACAUGUUGGAGUGCAGGGGCCCUUCAUCAAGUCAAGAUGGUCCCAUAUUCCAAUCACCUUCUCCCAAGAGGACCUUCAGCUCAAGGAUUUUCCUCAUAACGAUGCUAUGGUUAUUUCUUGCGUCAUCAAAGGGUUUCUGGUCCACAAUGUUUUGGUUGAUACAGGCAGUGCAGCUGAUAUUAUAUUUGCUAAGGCCUUCAGACAAAUGCAAGAGCCAGAAGAUAAGAUCCAUGAUGCUACACACCCUCUCUGUGGCUUCGGAGGAAGACAGAUUGCAACACUGGGCAAGAUCACCAUGCCAGUGACCUUCGGAUUCAUCAACAACACCAGAACUGAGCAAGUUGUGUUUGACAUUGUUGACAUGGAAUACCCUUACAAUGCAAUUAUUGGUCGUGGCACCCUCAAUGCUUUCGAAGCAAUUCUUCAUCCUGCUUAUCUUUGCAUGAAGAUACCUUCGGAUCAAGGACCCAUUGCUAUUCAUGGAAGUCAGGAAGCUGCCAGAAGGGCCGAAGGAAACUGGAUUGACUCCAAAGCAAUCCAUAAUAUAGAUGGAGCUGAAGCUUGUGAACAGUACAAAUUCAGAAGGGAGAAAGCAGCUUCGGCAGAUCAGCCGAAGCCCAUGCUCUUAUGUAAGGACAUAGCAGAGCAGAAGGUGAUGUUGGGCUCCCAAUUAUCCGAAGAACAGGAGAAAACCUUGAUAAGGUUUUUGUUCAACAACAAAGAUGUUUUUGCAUGGUCAGCUAAUGAUCUUUGCGGAGUUAACAGGGAUGUUAUUGAACACUCGCUCAAUGUUGACCCAUCCUUCAGACCCAGAAAGCAGAGGCUUCGGAAAAUGUCUGAUGACAAGGCCGAAGGAGCUCGGAAUGAAGUCAAAAGACUCCUCAGUGCAGGAGUUAUCAGAGAAGUAAAGUACCCAGAGUGGUUAGCUAACACUGUUAUGGUAAAAAAGGCCAAUGGCAAAUGGCGAAUGUGUAUCGAUUUCACGGAUCUCAACAAGGCCUGUCCGAAGGACGAAUUCCCGUUGCCAAGGAUAGACUCUUUAGUUGAUGCAGCAGCUUCGUCAGAGCUUAUGAGUCUUCUAGAUUGUUAUUCAGGCUAUCAUCAAAUUUGGAUGAAGAAGGAGGAUGAGCCGAAGACCAGUUUCAUAACCCCCAGUGGAACAUAUUGUUACCUUCGGAUGCCCGAGGGGCUCAAGAACGCUGGAGGAAGUUUCAGCUGAAUGACUGCGAAGGUUCUUCAGUCUCAGAUAGGCAGAAAUGUGCUAACUUAUGUUGAUGAUAUCAUUGUAAAAAGCACGAAACAAGAAAAUCACAUUGCUGAUUUGCAGGAGACCUUCGCCAGUUUUAGACAAGCUGGUCUAAAGCUGAAUCCAGAAAAAUGUGUCUUCGGAGUAAAGAAGGGGAAAUUUCUUGGAUGUUUGGUUUCAACAAAGGGAAUUGAAGCUAAUCCAAGUAAAAUUGAAGCUAUACUUCGAAUGGAGCCACCAAAUACAAAAAGGGGGCCCAAAGACUGACGGGGAGGCUGGCAUCUCUCAAUAGAUUCAUAUCCAGAUCAGCAGAGAGAAAUUUACCAUUCUUCGAAGUGCUGAAAUCAGCCGAAGUCUUUCAAUGGGGACCAAGCCAACAAAAAGCCUUCGAGGAACUGAAGCAAUAUUUGAUAGAUUUAACAACAUUAACUCCACCAACACCAGGGGCUCCUUUGUUAUUAUAUGUAGCAGCUUCGCACUCAGCGGUAAGUGCAGCACCUGUCCAGGAGAAGCUUGAUAUGGCCAAGUCAAGAAACAGGUCCCAGUAUAUUUUGUAUCUGAGGUUCUUAGUUUAUCAAAGAAAAAUUAUACAGAAUUGGAGAAGGUGUUAUAUGCUGUUUUGAUGGCAUCCAGGAAGCUUCGGCAUUACUUUCAAGCAUACAAUAUUGUUGUUCCUUCUUCGCAACCGUUGAAGGAUAUUAUGAGAAAUAGAGAAGCUACUGGACGGAUUGGAAAAUGGGCUGCAGAGCUCAAUGAAUUUUGCAUUGAUUAUGUGCAUAGAUCUUCGAUCCAAUCUCAAGCGUUGGCAGAUUUCAUUGCUGACUGGACGCCAGGGGCUCAGGAUGAAGAAACAAAUAAAGAUGCCGAAGUAUGGACAGUGUUUUGCGAUGGGUCUUGGGGAACCUUCGGAGCAGGAGCAGCCGCUGUGUUGGUCUCACCAUCCAAAGUUAAAACUUGUUAUGCGGCAAGACUCGAUUUUAGUUGUACAAACAAUAUUACUGAGUACGAAGCUCUGCUUUUGGGCCUUCGGAAGUUAAAAGCAAUGGGAAUCAGAAGGGCCAUUCUUAAAACUGAUUCCCAGGUCGUUUCGGGUCAUAUCGACAAGAGUUGCAAGGCUAAAGACCCGAAGCUUGAAAAAUAUCUAGACACGGUCCGAAGGAUUGAAGCUUCCUUCGAAGGAUUUUCUAUCAAAAAUAUCCCUCGAGGACAAAAUGAGCAUGCUGAUUUGCUAGCUAAGUCAGCAGCACAGGGGCUGCCCUUACCUUCGGAUGUGUUCUUCGAAACAAUAAAAGCACCUUCAGUGGAACUUCUUGAAAGAGCAGUCCUCAAUAUAUCUCCUGUUUAUAGUGAAUAUUGGAGAACUGAGAUCAUCUCUUACCUUCAGGGUAACUUCCUUUCAGAUGACGAAACUUAUAACAGGAGGAUAGAGGCAAGAGCUCGUCCAUAUGUCAUGAUAGAAGGGGAGUUGUACAAGCAUGGAGUUUGUGCCCCACUACUCAAGUGUUUAUCUAGAGCCGAAGGCAUAGAAUUGAUGAAAGAAAUACAUGCAGGCCUGUGUGGAUCUCACAUUGGAUCUAGGCCGCUACUUGGAAAAGUUUUCCGUCAAGGGUUUUAUUGGCCGAAUGCAGCUUCGGAUGCAGCAGAAUUAGUUCAAAAGUGCGAAGGUUGUCAAAAAUGUGCAAGAGAUCAAAAACAACCUUCGUCUUUAACUCAGCUGAUACAACCCAUCUGGCCAUUGCAAAGGUGGGGCCUUGACUUGUUAGGUCCGUUACCACCGACCCAAGGAAACUUAAGAUAUGUUGUAGUGGCUGUCGAAUAUUUUUCUAAAUGGAUUGAGGCAAAACCUUUAGCCAUAAUAACUUCGGCCACCAUUCAAAAGUUUUUCUGGCAGAAUAUUGUUUGUCAUUUUGGAGUACCAAAGGCCAUCACUGUAGAUAAUGGAACACAGUUCGACUCCGAAGCUUUCAGAGAAUUCUGUGAUCAAAUUGGCACGAAGAUCCAUUUUGCAUCAGUCAGGCAUCCGGAGUCAAAUGGACUUGUUGAAAGAGCCAAUGGCAUCAUAAUGACAGGAAUAAUGAAGUUAAUCUUCAACCAACCCAGGGGAAAGUGGCCAGAUCAAUUAAUCAAAGUGGUAUGGAGCCACAACACAACAACAUCAAGGUCAACAGGCUUUACUCCAUUCAAAUUAUUGUUUGGUGACGAAGCAAUAACUCCAGAGGAAGCUAAAACUGGAUCAAUAAGAGUAGUAGCUUCGACAGAAUCAGAUUCUGAAGCUGAUCAUUCUGUGGAAAAAGAUGCUAUAGAAGGGAUCAGGCUUCAAGCUGUGGAGAACAUCAAUAAAUAUCAAGCCGAAACAAUCAAAUGGCGUGAUAGAAAGGUUCGGUUAAAGAAUAUUGAGCCAGGACAUUUGGUGCUUUGGAGAGUGGCUAACCCAGAUACAGUGGGCAAGUUGCAGUUGAAAUGGGAGGGACCUUUUUUGGUAGUAUCUUCGUCAAGACCCGGUUCAUACAGAUUGAAGGAUAUGGACGGCAACGACAUUCCUAGAUCUUGGAAUGCGGAUGAGCUUCGACGAUAUUAUGUAUAACUUGAUGUAAUUUUUUAUAUUUUUUAUUUUUUCUUUCAUGGCACCCUUUUCCUUUCUAAAGGGGGAGAAAGGUUUUUAAUGGGGCCAUCACAUGUAAUUUCCUUUUUUAGCUCUGUAAGAGCAAAAUCCCCCAAAGAUGUAAAUGUAAAAGCUGAGAACGCACCAUCGAGUGCCGGAAAGAAACAAGGAAGAAGCUCCAAAGACGUUCCUAAGGGAAUGCAGAGCUUACAGCGAAAAGUCAACGCUGAUUCCGCCGAAAGUAAAAGGCGAAGAAGCUCCAAAGACGUUCCUAAGGGAAUGCAGAGCUUACAGCGAAAAGUCAACGCUGAUUCCGCUGAAGUAAAAGGCGAAGAAGCUCCUAAGGGAGGCUUACAGCGAAAAGUCAGCGCUGAUAUGUGAUUGUUUCUAAGGAAAUAACGGUUGUGAUUAUGGCUUCGGAUAUGUGUUUGGACAUUCAUUUGCACAUUACAUUACAUCAUAACAUUUGCAUUCAUAAACAUUCAUCCAGGCAUAUGUAGGAUAACCAUCAUCAUAGCAUAAGUGGUUGCUUCGGCAAAAAGGAAAAAACUGUCUUUUGUACUUCGUCAUGUACGAAAAGAAGAGCUUCGGAAAAAAGGAAAAGUUGUUUUUUAUGCUUCGCUGUGUACGAAAAGAAGGGAAGGUGUUUUUUCGCCUUCGGCUCAAAAAGAUAAUUUCGUCCACAUCAAAGCAUCUCUCAUACAUUAAUGGAAGGGUAAGAGCAUAUUACAAGGUAUGAACAGAAUUCAUUAAGAACAGUUUAGUCAUAUUUACAAAAGUUAUUUCAAAAGUUUCUUGAGUUUGUCUACAGUCUACUUUUACUGAUCUUCAUGAGGCCUCAGCUUCGGCGUCAUACUCUUUAAGCAUCGGUCUCGGCUUCGUCAUCCUACAUGAAUUGAGUUGUUGUGGGUCAAAACCAAGCUUGAAGGAAAAGGUAAGCGCAACGUAUGAUUUCUUACUGGUUCAAGAUGACUCCGAGCUUCGUCUCCAGCCUUUAAUUUUCUCGCCCGCCUUUUGUCCAUAUCAUCUUUACAAAUCUAUUAGAAAUGCUUCGGGCGAGGUCAGGAAUAUCAUCUAAAAUUGAUGGUGAUAGAGUGAAAUUGGGCCUAUUAACAAUUUUUCCAUGGUCGCAGCCAGCUUUCAGAAAAGCUGCAGCAGUGCCCCGAGAAGCUACCCAGGCACAGAAGUCACCGUGCCCGGCUAUAACUUCGUCAAGCUCAUCCAUUUCACCCUCAAUAUGUUCGAAGGUCUUUGGUAAAUCUUCAGCUGACGGGGUGAAUUUCUCACUGCUGGCUCCGACUGAGUGGAAGAUCUUUCUUAGUCGUUGGAUGCAUUUAUUGCUAAACUCCAAGCAUUUGUCUUGAAGGCUUGCCAAUAAUUUUUUCAAAUCUGAAUUUUGUUGGACUUCGGCCUCAAGUUUUGCAUUAAGUUCUUGUUUUUCUUGUUCAAACUGUUCUGAUUGGCAGAGAAGCUUCAUAUUCAACUCUGCUAUUUUAACUUCGGCUUCUGCCAAUAAGCCUUCAGUCGUCUGAAGCUCGAAGUCUUUCUUUUCAAUGGUGGCUGAUUGCUCUUUUAUUUUGCUCUCUAAAUUCUCAAUUAUAACUUCGUGUUUUUUAUCUUCUAGAUCCUGCUGCAUUUUCAAAGCUUUACUCAACAGCAUACUAUGCACAUAAACAAUCUUCAUUAGUAAUAUCUUCAUUAUUAAAAGCAAUAAAAGUUAGAAAAAGGUUGUUUACCUUGAAAUUAGAAUAAAAUAAACUACCAACGAUAUGUUGUCGUCGGUAGCGGCUGAUAUCCAUUUCCAGCUUCGGAAACCCGAUACUCUUUGAUAGGGUACCGAUAAUUUUAGCUCCGGUUUGAUCCCGGAUACAGUUUAAUUUUUCAUCAUCAAUACCACCAAAGAGGAGUGCUCCUGGUUUAUAUCCGCAAGAUUUGGCAUAUUCUUUAAGCUCUUCUAUUUCGGUCUUUGACAGCUCUUGUCCAAUUAAAUUUUGAAACAUGAAGGCUUCGUCCUCUGAAGUAUCGUCGGUUAUUUCUUUUCCUUUCCUAGGCGCUGCGGCCAUGGUCUCUUCAACGGCAGUUGUAGCUUCUUCUACGGCCAGGUCUAGCAAUAUUUUGUCGAUAUGUUCAAUUGUGGUUUCCAAGUUCAAAUCUUCGGCUGAAAUAGCUUCGGUAGCCGUGGCUUCCGAAGGUGCGACUUCAACAUUUGUUAUUUCCUCAGUCACUGGUGUCUUCUGAGCUGAAGUUCUCGGUGGUGUCUUGUCAAUGACUUCCGUCACCACGAUGAUUCUCUGUCUCUUUGUUUUAGUUGCUUUCUUCGAUUUUUCGGGCUCCUUUUCCUUUUGAAAAAACUUCGUCAGUUGAGGCCCUAAUGGACUUAGCUUCAGGGGCAGGGAUUCAGUCAUUACCUUUAAAAUCUCUUCCACCUCAGUGGCAGAAGGUGAUGCGCGAGUCUCUUCUUCGUCGGAAACUUUCUGCUUCGGAGAAGAUACUUUUCGCUUCUUCGGAAUACUCUUCUCUUUUGGUGGCUCUUCCUCGUCUUUAUUUAAAGCUUCGGAUACCCUUUUCCUUUUCCGGCCCUCAACACCCUUAUUCAGCUGUUCGUAGUCAGGGUAUUCAAAACCCAAGGCGUCCAGCACUCGAUUCAGUCUUCGCUUCGGACGGGUACCGAAGGCUGCAGUCAUCAACUGAUCUUCUUUUUUGGAGUAAUUACCGAGUAUUUCAUUGCACAUUAUUUCAAUUGUGUCCAGCCACUCUUGGCAAGGUGUUUUAAAGUGUUUCUUAAACUUGUAAUAGUAAGGUAACCGUACAAGUUCCCCUUUUUUCUUCUCCCCCUUUAGCUUCGGCAUUUCCCAUUCUUUUAAAGUAGGAAAAACCCUGAAGGCUAGGAAUUCUUGCACUAAAUCUCUAGUGCCAAUAUGUUCUGCAAUAAUCUUGAAUUCGCCCAGUGCAGUCCAAGUUGGACCUUCUACCGUCAUUCUGCAUCGGGGUCUUGUUUCUCCGAAGGUUAGUUCAAGAGGGCUCUGAACCAGCUUCUCUUUAUCUUCGUCAACUUUGACGUAAAACCACUCUGAUUUCCAGCCGGCCGGCCAUUUGCUUCGGUAGCUGAUCACGGGAAACUUCGUGGUUUUACGAUAAGCAAAGUUAUAGCAACCAAAAUUUUCAUGCAAUCCGUCUUUUCUGGCUUUUGUUUGGUAAUGUAGCUUAUGAACUCGACAGAAGCUGUCGGCAAAUGGCUCCACCGCCUGGCUUCGGAGAGCCCAGAUGUAGACGCUGAGCCUGACAAUCGCGUUGGGAGUCAGCUGGUGAAAAUAGAUGCCAAAUUGUUCCAGCACACCAGAGAUCAUCUUAUUUAAGGGAAAUCUCAACCCAGCCUUUAGGAAGCUCUUGAAAAUGACUAUUUCAUCCUUUUCUGGCUUCGGGGUAGUUUCUUCCCCCCGAAGCGAAGUAACUUCUUCUCAUUUUCACUAAAAUAACCCGACUUCACCAUCUUGGAGAAGUCAGCCUUGGAGACAGUCGACUUUCCGAAGUCCAAGUGGCUGGGCUUACUUGGCAUGACAAUAUGAUAAUCAUCUUCGGAAUCAGUUUCCUCAAUGUCUCCUUCUUCCGCUUUGGCAGUUGCCUGUUCUGUUUCAGCAGUGGGGAUUUCUUCCGUGAUUACCAGUCCGGAUCGUUGCAUCGCUUCGGAGAUGGGAACAGUCUCCGAUCCUUCAGCUUCGCCUCCCUCACGCUCAACUCUAGCGGUAGAGCGCACUCUGGCCAUUUAAUUCUGAAUUUUUUGGGAACUAAGUACUUUUUCUUCCGAAGCUUUUUUCUGACGAAGUAGGCUUCGAGCUGGAGCUUCGUUUGAUUUCGCGAGUCAAGCUUCGGCUAUGGUUAAAAAUUUUGGCAGCAAAACAGUGCAAAUAGCAAUGAAUGUUGUGGUAACUUCACAGCUACCCAUCUGUUUAUAUAGUGAUGCAGGUGAGAAGGUGAAUCGCCAGGGUCGUUACACCAGGCGAACAGCUGCUUGCACCCGCUGCGCGGUGGACCACAGAGACCAAAUAGUAACUCUGCAAGGUGGGACCGUUACACGCUCGGAAACUGAAUCGUUUCUCGACAACGAGCUCAGGGAAGGUGUUUUUUCGGACCUUCGGCUUCCCGAAGCCUAAGAGACUUUUUUCACGGAUCAAGCUCGUUACGAAAAACGAUCUAGCACCGCGAAGGGGCUACUGUUGGGACCAUGCUUCGUCGCCGAAGGUCCUGCAGGAAGAAACAGCUUCGGCUGAAGCUGUUUGUACGAGAUGCCGAAGGGUGCCGUUCAUGAAGCUUCGGAGUUACAAACCGACUUAAAGAUAGAAUGACCUUUUAGUCCAUAAGAGUUUUAGUCGCUGUUGUAAUCCCUUAUGAGGGGCAUGAUUGUAAUUCCUCACAAGCUGUGUCCCGUGUCUAUAAAUAGUGAACAUUAUUCCCUUACUGUUCACGAAAUCUUGUAAUCACUGGCACAUUACGCUGGAAUUAUUGCUUUCUGCCAAGACGAAGGUAUAAAUGUAUCUAAAUAUUAUGUUUUAAUAUUUAGGUUCAAAUAAUAAAAUAUGUGAAUGAUGUUAUUUAUUUUCGGUAUGUCUUUCUAUAAUGUUUCAUGUUUUAUAUUUUACUUCGUAUUGUUUCUCAAGUCUGAUCACGAAGGUAUGACCUUCGUGAUAUUUUGCUUAUGGCCUUCGUCCAAAGUCCAUUAAAGCCUUGGGGAUAUAAUGCUUCAGCGGACGAAGGGCAUCAAUAUUUAACAUUUUAUGUUGCCUUGUUCUUAACUCAUAGCAUUUGAGAACAAGUUCCCAACAGACACCGGUCUUGUUCCUUUGUAGCCUAGGGUGGCUAGCUACGGGCAGGGCAAUGAUGUAUCUCCUGUAGCGUAGUCGGUCCGAGGCUGAGGUCGGGCGAGGCGGUGGCUUCUCCUGAGGCCGAGGCUGAGGUCGGGCGAGGAUGUGACUCCUCUCGAGGCCGAGGCUGAGAUCGGGCGAGACGGGGACCUUCUCCCGAGGCCGAGGCCUGGGUUCGGGCGAGGCAAAGACCUUCUCCGAGGCCGAGGCCUGGGGUCGGGUGAGGCGGAGCUCCCUGUUGUGCCUGAGGCUAAACUCGGGAGAGGCCGCGACUUAUUGUUGUUAGUCUUACCCUGGUGGUUGGCACAAUAGUCGUGACGGGACGAACAGUGUUGUUGUCCUGUCAGAACGAUCAGUGAAAGGGCGAAGUGACUGCGAUCAUUUCGACCUUGCCAACUGAGGCGUGCGUGUCAGGAUGAGGUGGCAGGUGAUCCCGGCAUUAAAUGUGCAUGCGAUACGGUCGGUGGUAGGGCGAUUCGGCCGAGGUUGCUAUACGACAAAGUUUUCCCGAGCUUAGCCUCGGACGAGCCGGGGGUAAGCCUGCUGCCUGAGGGGACCCUUGGGCGAGGCGCGCAUCCAUUCAGGACUACUGUUCUUGCCCGAGGCUGGGCUCGGGCAAGACGAGAUCGCGUCCCUUGGUAGAUGAAGCUUUAUCCUUGAGCCGUUCUUGCCAGCCUUUACAGUUUGUUUUAAAGAUGUUUUCCAGCCAUGCUUAGGAGUAUUGGGGGUACCCCUAAUUAUGGUACCCGACAGUAGCCCCCGAGCCUCAAAGGGAGUGUAGGCACUCGCUUGGAGGUUCUGCCGGAUUUUUUGCAAGGGGACUGGCCUUUUUCGGUUAUAUUUUGCUCCGAUGGGUGUGCGUGUGCCCGAGCCUCGACCAUGUAACAGACGUACCCAGGGUCAUCCCUGACUCUGCAUGCUCUGGGGCGGCUGUCGAACCCUUCCGAGGGGCCAGCCUUCGACCCCCUGACCAGUAAAGGGCUCGGAGCCCGAGUGCUCUGAGGCGGUUGCCGAACCCCGCAGGGCGCAACCUUCGAACCCCUGAUCACUAGGAGGGCUCGGGGCUCGUUUCCUUCGCUAAGAAGGAUCCUUUCGGAAUAUCCCCUUUCCCGAUCCAUGUGGCAAGAGAGAGAGAGAGAGAGGGAAAAGGAAAACAGAAUAUAAAUUUAAACAAUGUGGCACACCUUUUUUGAGGCGGUCAUCAUGACGGAGGCAAAACAGCGCCCGCUUCGCCUGCCAGAGGUGUCGCGUGCCCUGCCAGGGAGUUAAUGUGACGGGACGGGCGACCCGCGGGGUAUCUGUUGCGCGUGCGCGAGUCAUUCGAGGAACGGAACACAGGUGCGUCGUCUUUAUGCUGUAGGAGAGGGCUCCCCUGCCGCUUCAGGGGAGGAUGCGAUCCUAUAGGUGGGACCAGGGUCUGGUUGGUGGUUGGACCGCUGCUUCCGCACGUCUGUUGCUGCAAUUACUGCCGGUCCGCUUAUGGUCAUAUCAAUUGUCGUGCCUAUUCCCGCGGCUGACUGACCCGUGACCGUCGUACUUAAUUGGCGUUGUUGGGUCAUGCGCGGGGCUGCCUCGAGUCGUUGCACUGGUUCUGUAGCCCCGAGAAGACGCGGUAUUGGCACAAGUGACGGUGCAGUUUCUUCACACAUGGUAACCGGUGCGUCGGUUACAUGACAUGUGGGCCUGGGCCUCCAUGCUGGACCGCCGGUUGUGUGACACCCACUUUGUAAAUUGCUAGGAUAAUGCCAGUAGAGGAACAAUUUCUCCUUAUGUGAGUUUGACCUUUAUGUACCAUCACAUGUGAACACCAUAUUUAAAAACAAAUAACUGUUAAGAUAUAUGCUACCAAAACAUGCAUCAUGCUGGGUUUUCAUGUUGUGUGCAUUUUGUGACAACAUAAAAAAAAUGUGACAAGAAAUAUAUUAAAAAUCCCAAAAGUGGAAUUUAAGUUCUAAAGGAAAUUUAGAAUUUGAGAAAAGAGAAGAAAUACUAUACAAAUGAGAUAAAAUAGAUAUAUAAAAUAACUAGAUGUGGUUAUUUAAAUUUAACCUAAGUAUGAACUCCCCAAAUAUAAACUCAAAUUUUGAAUUUGAAUUUGAAAAGGAAAGAGAAAGAGGAAAGAAAAAUAGAAAUGAAAAAGGAAUUGAAAAAGGGAAAAUAAAAAUAAGGGAAAACCUCAUCUGGGCCAAAACCCAUUUGUCUCGGCCCACCAAACCCCGCAUGCGCCAGUCCACUACUGCCCUCAUCCACUGGUCGAUGGGGCCGCUCAGCAGACCAGCCAGCACUUCCUGUGUUUGCUUCACUGGCGCGUGGGCCCCUCCUAUCAAGUUUAUCCCCUUCCCCUGUCCGGUCCGGUGUUGAGCGAAUUCCUCCGUGGAUCUCUCCGGUCAUUCCGCCACCGCCUUGGUUGUUGGAUCGACCGAGUUUCUUGCCACCAAAUUCUGUGAAAUCCACUGCUCCAGUGAAUAACUACCGUGUCGGCUGCCUUCCCCAGUUCCCCUCCUCUCCAUUUCUCCCCUUCUGACCACCCAUGGCGCUCGGCACCCAGUGUCUCUGCUCACCCUUGGCGACCGAACAGGUGAACCACCCACUCCUUUCCGCCGUCCUCUAAGGGCCAUCCAGUUGCACCUACGCGUGAGCUCUCCCUUCAACACUCCAGUGCCCGAGCUCCCUCCCCUGUGGCCUCCGCUCGGUGCGCCCCUCUCUGCUCCUCUGCCGUGUCCCUGCUAGCGCCUGCCGUCAACCACCCGCCGUCCGAGCAGACACCGGGCGCCAGCAAACUACGUGGAGGCUAGCUAGAGGUGCCGGGGAUCCAGCCGCACGCAUCGCGUCCCUCGGCUGGCGUGAUUCACCACCGGAGGGCCGGUGAUUUCACGACAUUGGUGGUCGUCGCCGCGGGUCCGCGCUUCAACGUGAGCCCGUGCUCUCUCACGGCCAUCUGAUGUAAGUACCCCUUCCAAUCUUUGGUGGUGGGCCCAGCAUCGUGUAGGUCACCACUGGUAGAGGGAUUAGCGCCCGAUGCGUCGGAUUGAGAUUUGCCGGUGAUGCUCCGCCGUAUGGGAGCGGCUGUGCCGCUGCUCUGGCGCUGGCGGCUGGAGGUGGGAGAUUGUCCCUGCGCCGUCGAUUCGGAGAUAAGGGGUCAGGAUUGGAUCUCACAGGGGCUAGCUGUAAACGGUAGAUCUGAUAUCCUACGGCUCGAAGUAUACCGCGUUUCAUUAAACUGUAGCCGUCAGAUCUCGAUCCUGUGGACUGAAUCACGUACCGGUUCGGGGUGAAGAUAAUUUAAUCUAAGCCGCCAGUUUUGAUCCAACGGUCCUUAUUGAACAAUACCCCUUCGCCGUAGUGUUUUUGCAAAAGAGCCCUCUGUGAUUUGGUGAAUCAACCCGCCAUCCUUACGCAAUUGUUCUCUGUGUCUAGAAAUACUUACCCCGAGCCCCCUGUACUUUGCAGAAAAUGAGGCCCAGUCCAGAGCAUAAUAAAAUCAGGGAAAAUGAUUAUUAAAUAGAUUUUUAAAAGGAAAAUAAUUCCUAGAACUUCAAUAAUUCAUAGAAAAUUCAUCCUAACUCCAAAUUAAUCCAUUCCAGUUCCUAAAAUUUUGUAAUUUUAUUCUUUAUCACCUAGAGCCUCUGUUAUGUCAUGAAAACAGUAAGAAAUUUAUUUAUCACUUAAUCCUAUUUAAAGCACAUAAAAUCUUUGAAAAUGCAUAACUUAAAUUCUAUAACUCCAAAAAUUAUGAUUCUUGUUCCUAGAAUUUUAUUUUAAGGUGUAGAUUAUUACUGUGUAUUUUGUUUAUAUGUUUGGUGUAAUGUUAAUUUUCCCUAUAUCUUGUGCUUGUUUGUAUUGUGGCGAGUAGAAGAACCCGUUGCUGAGGAAUCCUGGUGAGCAGCAGGUUGAAGUAGCUGAGCAGGAGCUCAUUGAAGGCAAGUUGUGCCCUUGACCACUUUUUACCCAAUAAUGUUCUUUAAUAUCACUUAUCCAUGCAUAGGUUAAUUUUGAUGGGACCCAAUAGGUCACCCUAGAUUGUUUAUCUCAUUACCUUGUUUACCCCUGAAUCACUUGGGUAGUUUGCUAUUGCUUUAUAUGGUUUUGGGAUAAUCAUUUAUCACCUCUAUGUUCCAAUUCUUGUUGUUAUUCUGUUUAUGUUCAUGUUGUUAUCAUUAAUGUUAAUUGGAACAUAGAGCUUAACUUGAGAACCACGUGCCACCACAAGGGUUUAAUGGGACGCCCUUGGCUGAUUAACUAGGAAAGCUAGUGGAAGACUACCUUACCCGAAAGGGGCAAGGGCAGUAGGGGAGAGGUCAGUGCGGGGAGGUCCCUGGUUGAUUUUGCUGCGAUGGCGGUCAGCCAGGAACCCUGUACUGGAUCUUCCCAUAAACUGUAGCGGGGUUUCGGAAGCUAGUGGAACUUUGUAAAGGCCUCGUAGUGUUGCCCUGCCGCGCUUCCUAGGUAGAGGUGUAUGGGAUUCGCGACCCCUUGGCAGAUGGGUAACAUGACUUGUGGGUAAAGGGUACAACCUCUGCAGAGUGUAAAACUGGUAUACUAGCCGAGCUCACGGUCAUGAGCAGCUCAGGACUCUCUGAUGUUUAAAUUAUGGAACUUAAAUUCAAUUUUGUCAUUUGCAUUGCAUGGGUUUAUUAUUAAUUUUGUUCUAUUACUUUAUUUAAGGUUUGGUAUUUACUUACACUUAGUAAUUGCUAAUAAAAUUUUGACCAACUACUUAAAAGCAAUGCUCAGCUUUAACCAUUCUCUUUGAUAAGCCUUACACUCCAUGAGCUCCCACCUUUGGUGAGUUCAUGUCACAUUAUUCCCCACAACUUGUUGAGCGAUGAUCAUGUGUGAGCUCACCCUUGCUGUCUCACACCCCCCCACAGGAGAAGAGCAGGUGGUUCAGGAGGAGCCACAAGGCGAGGAGUAUGAUCUGAUCUAGGUGGCGUUUCCAGUCGACAUUGGCGCCGACGAUCCUUAGUUCGUUUUAUGUUUACACUUUUACUUUGUAAUAAGUCUUCCGCUAUGUAAUAAAUACUCUGAUGAUUUAUGACAUUUAUCUCUAUACACUCUGUUAUUAUAUGUGUUGUCUUCUUGGCGCAUGUAUGAGAUGCACCUGGCUUGUUCCUUAAAGCCAGGUGUGACAGAAGUGGUAUCAGAGGAAAUAUUGACUGUAGGACGAAACCUAGAUAGAAAUGGACAACCCUUACCUACUUAUCUUAUUCUGAUUCAUUCUACACUUACCUUACUCUGAUUCUUUCUAUACUUAUCUUGAUCCAGUCUCAUCUUCUACUGUUCCACUCUGAUCAUUCUUACCUUUUCUACUCCAAGACAAGACGGAUUUCACACCUUGGAAUCCCUACCCCUAUGACAUUCUUAAGAGUUAGGGAAGCCUAAGACAAAAUUAAAACUAUUUUCUCUAUUAAAAAAAUGUUGGUUGAUUGUGCUGAUGAUCAAUGCCUGAUUUGCUUCUUUGAUUGAUUGAAAUAGUAUAGACGGGCAUCUUAGCAUGUACCACCAUAAGGUAAUGAAUUAGCUUUAGUAGGUGACACACUUAGCUAAUAAAUCCCCCAAAGUAACAUGCUUCGUAAUCACUGCCUUGUCUACAAUCCUUUCUUUCGUACCCUAUGUUUCUAACCCAGA
rnacentral:lncRNA from 1 species